UUGCAAGGGACAGAGGCCGAAAUGGAGGCGCAGAAGGCAGACGGCGAGUUGGGGAGGAAGGUGCUGGCCUCUAGGGUUCGGGACUUUAUAUAAGGGUGUCGGAGUGGCCGGACCAGCCCAAUCUGACUUCCGAUUUCCGAAUGGCGGCCCAGGGCCCAUAAACGGAGCGAGACAUAGUAUAUGGGAAUAUGGGAUGACUGAAUGACAUUGUUAUCUGCUCUCAAUAUUGUAUAGCACCAUUUUUAUGUAGGGAUGGCAACGAACACAUUUUACUCGUGUGCCUGCGGGUAAAAACCUUAUAGGGUGUGGGUUUAAGUGUGAGUUUGUACUCAUGGGUACGAGUACGGGUUUGAUUCACAACUCGAUGGGUUUUUUUCUCGUGGGUAUGAAAAUAUUGUACCUGUGCCCGCAAAACCGUAUACUCGCGUGUGUGUCUGUGUAGACUAUAGAGCACAUGCAUCUCAAUUUAGUGCCACCUCGAAAGCUUUGAGCGAGCGAAGCCAAUCAAAUGAUAUAAAAGAAGACUACAGGCGCCAGGGAACUCGUAGAACUUUUGGCUAAGAUCGGUACAUGUUUUUAUCAGUUUAAUAAAUAUUUAUUAUUAUGUGCUAUCGGUUUAAUAAAUAUUUAUUAUAUGACUGUGCUCGCGGGUGUACCUGCGGGUAGCGGGUUUUGGUAACAUACGCUACCCGUCGCGGGUAGCGGGUGCGGGUACGGGUUUAACAUUAAUCUCGUGGGUACGAGUUUGUAAUCUCUGUACCCGUGGGUUUUAAACCCGUUGCCAUCCCUACUUUUAUGUAUAUGCCCCGAUUUCUCUAGUUACACUUUCCCAACUCUCGUAAUUGAUUUUAUCAAGCCAUAAUUAAUUUUGGUGGUUGAUCGUCAACACAAACACAUGGACUAACUAGUUUGUCUAUAACUCAUGUGUUAUAGGUGCAUAAGGUUCAACACAAACCAAUAAAAGAUUCAAGUUAGGGACUAAAAUUGAAACGGAGCAAAGAAUUUGAGUGUGCUGUGGACUGGCGCACCGGACUGUCCAGUGUGCCACCGGACAGUGUCCGGUGCACCAGGGCCGUAUAAGUUCCAACCAGCCACUCUCGGGAAUUUAACGGUGCCCUCCGCUAUAAUUCACGGGACUGUCUGGUGUGCCACCGGACUGUCCGGUGUGCUAGCGGAGCAACGGCUAACUCGCGCAACGGUCAACUCUGACAGAAGCUACAGUGAGCAACAGUGCCGCGCAGAAGUCAGAACAGCGAAGUCAGAGGGGCAUCGGACUGUCCGGUGUGGCACCGGACUGUCCGGUGCGGCACCGAACUGUCCAGUGCCGCAAGAGGGCAAAGCUCCAACGGUCGCCCGAGCUCCGAACCCUAAUAGUUGGGUGACGUGGUGGCGCACCGGACAACGCACAGUACCUGUCCGGUGGUGCACCGGACUGUCCGGUGGCGCACCGGACUAUCCGGUGCGACCAUCGCCAGCAACCUCCCCAACGGCUACCAAAGUGGUUGGAGGCUAUAAAUACCCUCCAACCACCACAACUUCAAGCAUCCAUGUUUUCUGAAGAUCACAUUCAAUACAAGAGCUCUAGCAUUCACUCCAAGACACAAUACAAAAGAUCAAAUCCUCUCCAAGUCCCAAAUUCAUUCCAAACACUUAGUGGCUUGAGAGAGAGAGAGAGAAUUUUGUGUUCAUUUGAGUUCUUGUCGCUUGGAUUGUCUUUCUUCUUUUCCAAUUCUUAUUCUCAAGUGCUUUGUAAGCGAGGCAAGAGACACCAAGUGUGUGGUGGUCCUUGCGGGGUCUUAGUGACCCGUGAGAUUAAGGAAGAAGGCUCACUCGGUCUAAGUGAUCGUUUGAGAUAGGGAAAGGGUUGAAAUAGACCCGGUCUUUGUGACCUCCUCAACGGGGACUAGGUUCUUUGGAACCAAACCUCGGUAAAACAAAUCAUCGUGUUCACUCGCCUUAUUUCUUGGUUGAUUUGUUUUCCAUCUCUUUCCGACUUAAAUUUAAUUCUAACGCUAACCUCCGACCUUAGUGCUUGCUUAAAGUUAUAAAUUCCAGGUUUCUCCUAUUCACCCCCUUUAGGCGACUUUCAAUUGGUAUCGGAGUCUGGUGCUUCAUUAGAGUCUAACAACUCGAAGUUAUGUCGGGAUAUCACACCAAGAGGGAGAUUAUGACCGGCAACAAGUCCGCAAGCUCGGGGAGGACUCUCUCAAGGGAGUCUGGCAACAAACAUAAAGAGGAAUCCUCUUCCUCCAUCAAGUCACAUCGGAAAGGUGACAAGAAGAAAAAUAUGAAAAAGGUGGUCUAUUACGAGACCGACUCUUCGUCACCCUCCACAUCAAGCUCCGAGUCAUCCGUCGCUUCUAAGAGCCAUGAGCUCAACAAGUAUAGUAAGAUGUCUCUUCGCUAUCCCCGUAUUUCUAAGCGCGCUCCAUUACUUUCCGUUCCCCUAGUCAAACCACCAUAUUUUGAUGGUGAAGAUUAUUGUAUUGUCGGGGACCAUAAUUAGGGGUACCCUGAAGGCUCCUAAUUCUCAGCUGGUAACCCCCAUCAGCACAAAGCUGCAAAGGCCUGAUGGGUGCGAUUAAGUCAGGGAUCGGUCCAUUCGCGGGACUCGAUCACGCCUCGCCCGAGCCUAGCCUCGGGCAAGGGCAGCCGACCCCGGAGGAUCUCCGUCUCGCCCGAGGCCCCCCUCCAGCGACGAACAUACUUCUGGCUUGCCCGAGGCCCUGUCUUCGCCAAGAAGCAACCCUGACCGAAUCGUCGCGCCGACCGACCAAAUCGCAGGAGCAUUUAAUGCAAAGGUGGCCUGACACCUUUAUCCUGACGCGCGCCCUUCUGUCGAUAGAGCCGAAGUGACCGCAGUCACUUCGCCGCUCCACUGACCGACCUGACAGAAGGGCAGCGCCGCCUGCGUCGCACCGACUGCAGUGCCACUUGACAGAGUGAGGCUGACAGGCAGUCAGGCCCGACCUCAGGCACCAUAGGAAACUCCGCUCCGCCCGACCCAGGGCUCGGACUUGGGCUAAGCCCCAGAAGACGGCGAACUCCGCUCCGCCCGACCCAAGGCUCGGACUCGGGCUAAGCCCCGGAAGACGGCGAACUCCGCUCCGCCCGACCCAGGGCUCGGACUCGGGCUAAGCCCCGGAAGACGGCGAACUCCGCUCCGCCCGACCCAGGGCUCGGACUCGGGCUAAGCCCCAGAAGAUGGCGAACUCCGCUCCACCCGACCCAGGGCUCGGACUUGGGCUGAGCCCCGGAAGACGGCAAACUCCGCACCGCCCGACCCAGGGCUCAGACUUGGGCUAAGCCCCAGAAGACGGCGAACUCCGCUCCGCCCGACCCAGGGCUCGAACUUGGGCUAAGCCCCGGAAGACGGCGAACUCCGCACCGCCCGACCCAGGGCUCGGACUUGGGCUCAGCCCCAGAAGACGACGAACUCCGCUUCGCCCGACCCCAGGGCUCGGACUCAGCCCUGGCCUCAGCCGACGGUCUCCGCCUCGCCCGACCCAGGGGCUCGGACUUGACCACGGCCACGGAAGACAGACUCGACCUCGACCUCGGAGGAGCCUCCACAUCGCCCAACCUAGGGCGCGGACCGACCACGUCGACAGGAAGCGCCAUCAUUACCCUACCUAGGGCUGGAAAAUUAGCUCGAGGCUCGCGAGCCGGCUCGGGCUCGGAGCGGCUCGGCUCGGCUCGGGACGGCUCGCGAGCCUCGAACGAGCCGAGCCGAGCCUCUUCUUCGAGCUCGUUUUUACAGCGAGCCGAGCCGAGCCAGCUCGUUCCAGCUCGCGAGCCGGCUCGCGAGCCUUGCAAAAAUAAUCAAUUUAUGGAAUAAUGAUAAAUAUUAGAUAAUUUUAUGGAUAAUAGCUCAUUUUUAGUCUUUAAUGAUGAAUACAUUACAAGUUAUAAUUUAAUUUACUCAUAAUGUAGAAUGAUGAUUCUAUAUUUCAAAUUUAUAUAAUGUUAAUUCACCAAAUAAUGCAACGGUAAGUACCAGAAUAUGGCUCACGAGCCGAGCCGAGCCGGCUCGCGAGCUAAGGUCGAGCCGAGCCUCUUUUGCCAGCUCGUGAAAUGGGCGAGCCGAGCCGAGCUCGUUCAGACACCGAGCCGCACCGAGCCGAGCCGAGCCGAGCUCGGCUCGGCUCGUUUCCAGCCCUAACCCUACCCCAAGCUGACUCAGGCUACGGGGAACAAGACCGGCGUCCCAUUUGGCUCGCUCCGCCAGAUAGGCAAUGAUGGCGCCCCGCACGCUCUGUGACGACGGCGGCUCUCAGCCCCCUUACGGAAGCAAGAGGACGUCAGCAAGGACUCGACGGCCCCGACAGCUGUCCUUCCGCCAGGCUCCAGCGCUCCUCCGACGGCCAUGACACCACAUGAACCGGGUGCCAAAACCUCUCCGGCUGCCACGACGGCGUGUACUUAGGGCGCUAGCUCUCCUCCGCUAGACACGUAGCACUUUGCUACACCCCCCAUUGUACACCUGGAUCCUCUCCUUACGCCUAUAAAAGGAAGGACCAGGGCCCUCUUACAGAGGGUUGGCCGCGCGGGGACGAGGACGAGACAGGCGCUCGCGUGAGGCCGCUCGCUCCCUCUCCCGCGUGGACGCUUGUAACCCCCUACUGCAAGCGCACCCGACCUGGGCGCGGGACGAACACGAAGGCCGCGGGAUUUCCACCUCUCUCACGCCUGUCUCCGGCCACCUUUCUCCCCCUUCGCGCUCGGCCUCGCGCCGACCCAUCUGGGCUGGGGCACGCGGCGACAUUUCACUCGUCGGCCCAGGGACCCCCCGGUCUCAAAACGCCGACAGUUAGCGUGCCAGGUAGGGGCCUGCUGCGUGUUGACGAACAGCUUCCCGUCAAGCUCCAGAUGGGCAGUCUCCAGCAACCUCUCCGGCCCGGGACGGUGCUCUGUUUCGGGAGCCUUGAGUUCAUGUCCUUCGACGGCAGCUACGACAUGAUACUCCUUCCACCGCCGUGCGACGGCGACAAUGGCGGCCGACAGCCCGCCCGCCGGCGGCGGAAUCGACGACGUCUUCCCCGCGUGGUGGAAGAACAACAUUCGAGCUCACCCCGUCCUCUCCCCCGCCGACGGAGGAGGAGGCGGGGCAACCAAGGCCAAGCAGGAGGCAGCGCCUCGUCGGCUGUCGAGCGAGUCGACGGCGCCAGCGCCCCAACGGGGGGCGCGUCGGGCAUCGACCUCACGUUUGAGACGAAGACGAGCGUCGUCUCCCCGCAACACGCCGAUUCCGAGCAAAUGGACGACGCCAGCAUGCUCGCGAAAGGCUUGCUGGAUGUCACCCUCGUACCUGAGACGACGGUGCAGUCAGUCCCCGACGUGACUUCAUCACCGCCCGUCGACCAAGAGGUACCGACCGAUUCCCAUCUCACGCCCUUUGGAUUCAGCCUCGACCCGCCAAGCGGCUUCGCUUUGGCGGACGCUCUCGUAGAGGCGAGUCCAAACCCUCUGGGGUAUCGUAUGUGGUCACCCUGGGACUGGCUGACGGACGUCUCGACCUACGGGCCCUCGAGGUCCGAGGAAGAUGACGAGCCCGACUUCUGUUGGGAUUUCUCCGGACUUGGUAACCCCAGUGCCAUGCGGGACUGAAAGGGAAAUGUGCCCUUGGGCCAUUUCUAAGUAUUUUGGUGAUUGAGUGUCAACACAAGUGCUUAAAUGUGAAUCAAUACCCAUGGAUGAACAAAGUGCAAAUCUAGAGCAAAGGUAUGUUUCUAAGUCUUAGUACAUUGGUUUUGUGUACUAAUAUACUUGUCUAAGUAUUAGAAACAGGAAGAAGAAGAAGAGAAGAAAGUUGGCUGUGUACAGCCAACAGGCUGUUUCGGUCUGGGGCACCGGACUGUCCGGUGGUGCACCGGACAGUGUCCGGUGGUGCACCGGACAGUGUCCGGUGCGCCAGGCUAUCUCGGCCGAAGAGGCCGCUCUCGGGAAUUUGCUGACGGCGUACGGCUAAAAUUCACCGGACUGUCCGGUGUGCACCGGACUGUCCGGUGAGCCAACGGUCGGCCAGGACCAACGGUCGGCCGCGCGAUCAGCGCAGGACACGUGGCCGAGCCAACGGUCGGAAGGGGGCACCGGACUGUCCGGUGUGCACCGGACAUGUCCGGUGCGCCAACGGCUCCCGCAUCUGCAACGGUCGGCUUCGCCAUUUAAGGAAAGGAAUCGGGCACCGGACACUGUCCGGUGUGCACCGGACUGUCCGGUGCGCCCGACGACAGAAGGCAAAGAUGGCCUUCCAGAUUUGUUCUCAACGGCUCCUAGCUGCCUUGGGGCUAUAAAAGGGACCCCUAGGCGCAUGGAGGAUAACACCAAGCAACUCUUGAGCAUUCUUGAUCAUCCACACUCAGUCUUUGCGCAUCCGUUUGUGAUUCUAAGUGAUUCGAGCUCUGUUCUUGUGAGAAACUGUGAGAUAGUCUUUGAGCUCGAAUCUUGGCCGUGUGUGUGCGCGUUUCGCUGUGGAUUUGUGUGUGUUGCUUCCCUCCCUUACUCUGUGCUUCUUUGUGAAUCUUAAGUGUAAGGGCGAGAGACUCCAAUUUGUGGAGAUUCCUCGCAAGUGGGAUAAAGAUAAGCAAGGCAAAAUACUGUGGUAUUCAAGUGGGUCUUUGGACCGCUUGAGAGGGGUUGAUUGCAACCCUCGUCCGUUGGGACGCCACAACGUGGAGUAGGCAAGUUUUGUACUUGGCCGAACCACGGGAUAAAUCACCGUGUCUCCUCUGUGUUGAAUUCUCUGUGAUUGUCGUAUUGUGCAAGAUCUUCUCUUUAGCCACUUGGCAAUUAUUGUGCUAACCUCUAACAAGUUUUUGUGGCUAUAAGUUAAGUUUUUACAGGAUCACCUAUUCACCCCCCCCCCUCUAGGUGCUCUCAAUUGGUAUCGGAGCCGUUCUCUUCACAAAGGGACUUACCGCCCGAAGAGAUGGAUCCUAAGGGGAAGGGAAUCGUGAUCAACGACAAAGAGAAGGAAUCCUUCGUCAACGAGCCGAAGGACAACAAGCCUACCGACUCCGGCUCGAGGCAUAGACGGAAGGAAGGGAAGAAGAAGAAGACAAGGCGCAUAAAGGAGAUCAUCUACUACGACGAUAGUGAUGAGUCUACUUCUUCCCAAAAGGAUGAUGACAACGACUACAAAAAGACGGUCAAUUCGAACUUUUCAUUUGAUUAUUCUCGUAUUCAACAUAGUUCGAAUUCGCAUUUGCUUUCCAUUCCUCUUGGCAAACCUCCACACUUCGAUGGGGAGGACUACGGAUUUUGGAGUCACAAAAUGCGUAGUCACUUAUUCUCUCUCCAUCCAAGCAUAUGGGAGAUUAUGGAGAAUGGAAUGAAAUUUGAUAGCUCGGAUAGCCCUAUGCUUAUAAAUGAACAAAUUCAUAGAAAUGCACAAGCUACUACUGUUCUCUUAGCGUCUUUGUGCAGGGAAGAGUACAAUAAGGUGAGUGGCUUGGACAAUGCCAAGCAGAUAUGGGACACCCUCAAGAUCUCUCACGAGGGGAACGACAUCACCAUGCUCACCAAGAUGGAGUUGGUGGAGGGCGAGCUUGGACGAUUCGCCAUGAUAAGGGGAGAGGAGCCAACUCAAACUUACAACCGGCUCAAGACUCUUAUCAACAAAAUAAGGAGCUACGGAAGCACACGUUGGACGGAUCACGACAUCGUCCGCCUAAUGCUCAGGUCCUUUACCGUUCUUGAUCCUCAUCUCGUGAACAAUAUUCGUGAGAAUCCCAGGUACACGAUGAUGACGCCCGAGGAAGUACUUGGAAAAUUCGUGAGCGGGCGGAUGAGAUCAAGGAGGCAAGAUACGCCGACGACGCGUUGAACGGUCCACUCCAUGAGCCUCAACCCAUUGCUCUAAAGGCAACGAGGAGCAAGGAGUCGCUACCUAGCAAGGUGGCGCAAGUUGAGGCGGCCGGGCUCAAUGAUGAAGAGAUGGCUCUCAUCAUCAAGAGAUUCAAGACGGCGCUAAAAGGUCGAAAGGGACAGCCAAGCAAGGCCAAGACCAAGGGAAAGCGAUCAUGCUUCAAAUGCGGUAAGCUUGGUCAUUUUAUUGCUAACUGUCCCGAAAAUGAUAGUGACCAGGAGCAAGGGAAAAAUGGGAAGAGAGAGAACAAGAAGGUUUACAAGAAGGCCAAAGGCGAAGCACACCUUGGAAAGGAGUGGGAUUCGGAUUGCUCUUCGUCCGACUCCGACGACGAAGGACUCGCCGCCACUGCCUUCAACAAAUCGGCUCUCUUCCCCAACGAGCAUCACACUUGCCUCAUGGCAAGGGAAAAGAAGGUAAUCACUCGUAAUGCUAAUACUUAUGAUUCUUCUAGUGAUGAUGAAUCUAGUGAGGAUGAAAUUGAUUACUCUAGUUUAUUCAAGGGAUUGGAUAGAACUAAGAUAGCUAAGAUUAAUGAGUUGAUCGAUGCCUUAAAUGAAAAGGAUAGAACCUUAGAGAAACAAGAAGACCUCUUAUAUGAAGAACAUGAUAAAUUUGUUAGUGCACAAAAUUCACUUGCUCUAGAAGUUAAAAGAAAUGGAAUACUUUCUUGUGAACUUUCUACUUGUAAUGAAACCAUUUCUUCUUUAAAAGGUGAAAUUAACGAUUUAACUGCUAAACUAGAAGUAGCAAGUAACUCGUAUGUUGAAAAUAUUACAAUUUGCACUAGGUGUAAGGAUUUUGAUGUUAAUGCUUGUAGUGAACACUUAGUUUCAAUUUCAAAACUAAAUGAUGAAGUGGCUAGUCUUAAUGCUCAACUUAAGACUAGCAAGAGUGAAGUUGAUAAAAUAAAAUUUGCAAGGGAUGCCUACACAGUGGGUAGACACCCCUCAAUUAAGGAUGGUCUUGGCUUCAAGAGAGAAGCCAAGAACUUAACAAGCCAUAAGACUCCUAUCUCCACCAAGGAGAAAGGGAAGGCUCCUAUGGCUAAUAGUGUUAAGAAGAAUCAUGCUUUCAUGUACUAUGAUAGGAGAUACUCUAGAAAUGCUUUUAGAAGUAAUGAUGUUUUUGAUUCACAUGCUUAUGACUCUUAUGCUAUGACUGCUUCUAGUUCUCAUGUUAUGCAUGGUAGAAAUGUGUUUAGAAGAAAUGUUGUUCACCAAAUGCCUAGGAGAAAUGUAGUUCAUAAUGCUCCUAGGAAAGUAGUGAAUGAACCUUCCGAAAUUUAUUGUGCUCUAAAUGCUUCCUUUGCUAUUUGUAGAAAGGAUAAGAAAAUUGUUGCUAGGAAGUUAGGGGCAAGAUGCAAGGGAGAUAAAACUUGCAUUUGGGUCCCUAAGAAUAUUUGUGCUAACCUUAUAGGACCCAACAUGAGUUGGGUACCUAAGUCCCAAGCCUAAAUUUGCCUUGCAGGUUUAUGCAUCCGGGGGUUCAAGCUGGAUUAUUGAUAGCGGAUGCACAAACCAUAUGACGGGGGAGAAGAAGAUGUUCACCUCCUACGUCAAGAAUAAGGAUUCCCAAGAUUCAAUUAUAUUCGGUGAUGGGAAUCAAGGCAAGGUAAAAGGGUUAGGUAAAAUUGCGAUUUCUAAUGAGCAUUCUAUCUCUAAUGUAUUUUUAGUAGAGAGUCUUGGAUAUAAUUUGCUAUCUGUUAGUCAAUUAUGUCAUAUGGGGUAUAAUUGUCUAUUUACAAAUGUAGAUGUGUCUGUCUUUAGAAGAAGUGAUGGUUCACUAGCUUUUAAGGGUGUAUUAGACGGCAAACUUUAUUUAGUUGAUUUUGCAAAAGAAGAGGCCGGUCUAGAUGCAUGCUUAAUAGCUAAGACUAGCAUGGGCUGGCUGUGGCAUCGCCGCUUAGCACAUGUGGGGAUGAAGAACCUUCACAAGCUUCUAAAGGGAGAACACGUGAUAGGUUUGACUAACGUGCAUUUCGAAAAAGAUAGACCUUGUGCAGCUUGUCAAGCAGGUAAACAAGUGGGAGGAGCGCAUCACAGCAAGAACGUGAUGACCACUUCAAGACCCCUGGAGCUGCUGCAUAUGGACCUCUUCGGACCUGUCGCCUAUCUGAGCAUAGGAGGGAGUAAGUAUGGUUUAGUUAUUGUUGAUGAUUUUUCCCGCUUCACUUGGGUGUUCUUUUUGCAGGAUAAGUCUGAAACCCAAGUGACCCUCAAGCGCUUCCUCAGGAGAGCUCAAAAUGAGUUUGAGCUCAAGGUGAAGAAGAUAAGGAGCGACAACGGGUCCGAAUUCAAGAACCUUCAAAUGGAGGAAUUCCUUGAAGAGGAAGGGAUCAAGCACGAGUUCUCCGCUCCCUACACACCACAGCAAAAUGGUGUGGUAGAGAGGAAGAACAGGACGCUAAUCGAUAUGGCGAGGACAAUGCUUGGAGAAUUCAAGACCCCCGAGUGUUUCUGGUCGGAAGCCGUGAACACGGCUUGCCACGCCAUCAACAGGGUCUACCUCCAUCGCCUCCUCAAGAAGACUUCGUAUGAGCUUCUAACCGGUAACAAACCCAAUGUAUCUUACUUUCGUGUAUUUGGGAGCAAGUGCUACAUUCUAGUGAAGAAAGGUAGAAAUUCUAAGUUUGCUCCCAAAGCUGUAGAAGGGUUUUUGUUAGGUUAUGACUCAAAUACAAAGGCGUAUAGAGUCUUCAACAAAUCAUUGGGUUUGGUUGAAGUCUCUAGCGACGUUGUAUUUGAUGAGACUAAUGGCUCUCCAAGAGAGCAAGUUGUUGAUUGUGAUGAUGUAGAUGAAGAAGAUGUUCCGACGGCCGCUAUACGGACCAUGGCGAUUGGAGAAGUACGGCCACAGGAACAAGAUGAACGAGAUCAACCUUCUUCCUCAACUAUGGUGCAUCCCCCAACCGAAGAUGACGAACAGGUACCUCAAGUGGAGGCGCUUGAUCAAGGGGGAGCACAAGAUGAUCAAGUGAUGGAGGAAGAAGCGCAACCGGCACCUCCAACCCAAGUUCGAGCGAUGAUUCAAAGGGAUCAUCCCGUCGAUCAAAUUCUGGGUGACAUUAGCAAGGGAGUAACUACUCGAUCUCGAUUAGUUAAUUUUUGUGAGCAUUACUCCUUUGUCUCUUCUAUUGAGCCUUUCAGGGUAGAGGAGGCCUUGCUAGAUCCGGAUUGGGUAUUGGCCAUGCAGGAGGAGCUCAACAACUUCAAGCGCAAUGAAGUUUGGACACUGGUGCCUCGUCCGAAGCAAAAUGUUGUGGGAACCAAGUGGGUGUUCCGCAACAAACAGGACGAGCACGGGGUGGUGACGAGGAACAAGGCUCGACUUGUGGCAAAAGGUUAUGCCCAAGUCGCAGGUUUGGACUUUGAGGAGACUUUCGCUCCUGUAGCUAGGCUAGAGUCCAUUCGUAUCUUGCUAGCAUAUGCCGCUCACCAUUCUUUCAGGUUGUACCAAAUGGAUGUGAAGAGCGCUUUCCUCAACGGGCCAAUCAAGGAGGAAGUGUACGUGGAGCAACCCCCUGGCUUCGAGGAUGAACGGUACCCCGACCACGUGUGUAAGCUCUCUAAGGCGCUCUAUGGACUUAAGCAAGCCCCAAGAGCAUGGUAUGAAUGCCUUAGAGACUUUUUAAUUGCUAAUGCUUUCAAGGUUGGGAAAGCCGAUCCAACUCUUUUUACAAAGACAUGUGAUGGUGAUUUGUUUGUGUGCCAAAUUUAUGUCGAUGACAUAAUAUUUGGUUCUACUAACCAAAAGUCUUGUGAAGAGUUUAGCAGGGUGAUGACACAGAAAUUCGAGAUGUCGAUGAUGGGCGAGUUGAACUACUUCCUUGGGUUCCAAGUGAAGCAACUCAAGGACGGCACCUUCAUCUCCCAAACGAAGUACACGCAAGAUCUGCUAAAGCGGUUUGGGAUGAAGGACGCCAAGCCCGCAAAGACUCCGAUGGGGACCGGCGGACACACCGACCUCAACAAAGGAGGUAAGUCCGUUGAUCAAAAAGCAUACCGGUCAAUGAUAGGUUCUUUGCUUUACUUAUGUGCUAGUAGACCGGAUAUUAUGCUUAGCGUAUGCAUGUGUGCUAGAUUUCAAUCCGAACCUAAGGAGUGUCACUUAGUGGCGGUGAAGCGAAUUCUUAGAUAUUUGGUUGCUACGCCUUGCUUCGGGCUCUGGUAUCCAAAGGGGUCUACCUUUGACUUAGUUGGAUACUCAGACUCCGACUAUGCUGGAUGUAAGGUCGAUAGGAAGAGUACAUCGGGGACGUGCCAAUUCUUAGGAAGGUCCCUGGUGUCAUGGAACUCUAAGAAACAAAUAUCCGUUGCCCUAUCCACCGCUGAGGCCGAGUACGUUGCCGCAGGUCAGUGUUGCGCGCAACUACUUUGGAUGAGGCAAACCCUCCGGGACUUUGGCUACAAUCUGAGCAAAGUCCCACUCCUAUGUGACAAUGAGAGUGCUAUCCGCAUGGCGGAGAAUCCUGUUGAGCACAGCCGCACAAAGCACAUAGACAUCCGGCAUCACUUUUUGAGAGACCACCAGCAAAAGGGAGAUAUCGAAGUGUUUCAUGUUAGCACCGAGAACCAGCUAGCCGAUAUCUUCACUAAGCCUCUAGAUGAGAAGACCUUUUGCAGGUUGCGUAGUGAGCUAAAUGUCAUAGAUUCGCGGAACCUGGAUUGAAUUGUAGCAUACAUGUACUUAUGCUUUUGAUCAUGUUCCUUUUUGCAUUUUGUUGCUUAUUAUGGUGCUCAAGUUGUACCAACACUCCCUGGACCUCACAAGUCCGUUGCAAAGUGAUGCACAUGUUUAGGGGGAGAUGUGUUACAACUUGACCCUUUGAGACUAACCAUGUGCUUGAGUUUGAUAAUUUAGUCUCGAAGGAGGAUUGAAAGGGAAAAGGUGGACUUGGACCAUGAAAGACUUCCACUGCACUCCGAUGAGAGGGUAACUAAUUCCAAGUUCAUCUCAUGAAAUCUUAUUGCCAUUUGCUCUUAAUUGAAGACUUUGGUGAGGCAAUGGGGUUAAAAGGCCAAGAUUGAUCCCGUUUUGGUGCUUCAUGCCAAAGGGGGAGAAAAUAAAGGCCAAAGUGAUAAAUGGAUCAGCUACCACUUGAGAGAUUUUGAAAAUAGUAGAAUAGAGUUUUUGUUGUGUCAAAAGGCUUUUAUUAUCUCGUAUUGUCUCUAUUGUCAAAAGUUGGCUUCUUGUGGGGAGAAGUGUUGAUUAUGGGAAAUAGGGGGAGUUUUUGAAAUCUUUGAUCAAUCUCUUUUGGAAUGACUCUCUUUAUGCCUCAACAUGUGUGUUUGACAUAGAAAUAGAAAUUUGAGUUUGAUUUGCAAAAACAAACCAAGUGGUGGCAAAUGAUGAUCCAUAUAUGCCAAAAUUGAAUCAAAACCAAUUUGAGCUUUUAUUUGAAGUGAUUUUGCACUUGUUCUAGUUGCUUUAUGUUGUGUUGGCAUAAAUCACCAAAAAGGGGGAGAUUGAAAGGGAAAUGUGCCCUUGGGCCAUUUCUAAGUAUUUUGGUGAUUGAGUGUCAACACAAGUGCUUAAAUGUGAAUCAAUACCCAUGGAUGAACAAAGUGCAAAUCUAGAGCAAAGGUAUGUUUCUAAGUCUUAGUACAUUGGUUUUGUGUACUAAUAUACUUGUCUAAGUAUUAGAAACAGGAAGAAGAAGAAGAGAAGAAAGUUGGCUGUGUACAGCCAACAGGCUGUUUCGGUCUGGGGCACCGGACUGUCCGGUGGUGCACCGGACAGUGUCCGGUGUGCCAGGCUAUCUCGGCCGAAGAGGCCGCUCUCGGGAAUUUGCUGACGGCGUACGGCUAAAAUUCACCGGACUGUCCGGUGUGCACCGGACUGUCCGGUGAGCCAACGGUCGGCCAGGACCAACGGUCGGCCGCGCGAUCAGCGCAGGACACGUGGCCGAGCCAACGGUCGGAAGGGGGCACCGGACUGUCCGGUGUGCACCGGACAUGUCCGGUGCGCCAACGGCUCCCGCAUCUGCAACGGUCGGCUUCGCCAUUUAAGGAAAGGAAUCGGGCACCGGACACUGUCCGGUGUGCACCGGACUGUCCGGUGCGCCCGACGACAGAAGGCAAAGAUGGCCUUCCAGAUUUGUUCUCAACGGCUCCUAGCUGCCUUGGGGCUAUAAAAGGGACCCCUAGGCGCAUGGAGGAUAACACCAAGCAACUCUUGAGCAUUCUUGAUCAUCCACACUCAGUCUUUGCGCAUCCGUUUGUGAUUCUAAGUGAUUCGAGCUCUGUUCUUGUGAGAAACUGUGAGAUAGUCUUUGAGCUCGAAUCUUGGCCGUGUGUGUGCGCGUUUCGCUGUGGAUUUGUGUGUGUUGCUUCCCUCCCUUACUCCGUGCUUCUUUGUGAAUCUUAAGUGUAAGGGCGAGAGACUCCAAUUUGUGGAGAUUCCUCGCAAGUGGGAUAAAGAUAAGCAAGGCAAAAUACUGUGGUAUUCAAGUGGGUCUUUGGACCGCUUGAGAGGGGUUGAUUGCAACCCUCGUCCGUUGGGACGCCACAACGUGGAGUAGGCAAGUUUUGUACUUGGCCGAACCACGGGAUAAAUCACCGUGUCUCCUCUGUGUUGAAUUCUCUGUGAUUGUCGUAUUGUGCAAGAUCUUCUCUUUAGCCACUUGGAAAUUAUUGUGCUAACCUCUAACAAGUUUUUGUGGCUAUAAGUUAAGUUUUUACAGGAUCACCUAUUCACCCCCCCCUCUAGGUGCUCUCAGGGACUUCAUGACCACAUGCAACUACUGCCUUUCCGACUGUUCCGACGGUAGCCGCAGCCUCGGCGACGAGGACUGCGGCCCAAGCCGCGAAUGUUUCCACGUCGAUCUAGGGGGUCCCUCCGAAGGCAACCAUCUCGGUAUGCCAGAGAACGGUGAUCUCCCUAGGCCUGCGCCUCGCGUUGACAUCCUACGGGAGCUAGCUGUGGUCCUCAUUCAGGCGGGGGGCCAUGACCCACAGCUCGAGCAAAUCCGCGGGGUGCAGGCCAGGCUCGACGAGGGAGCAGGAGCGCUUGAGCCGAUCCGCCUGGACGUCGGGCAGGAAUGGGCGGGCCAACCUCUGGCGGAGAAAUGCGUCAUCUACCCCAGGGCUUCCAGCACCGCAUCGCCGACAAUGUCAGGAUGAGGCCGCCACCCGCUUCCAGUGGGGUCGGCCAGAACCUGGUCGCGGCGGCAAUGCUUCUCCACGCGAUGCCGGAGCCAUCGACCACCGAGGGGCGGCGAAUCCAGGGAGAACUCAAGAAUCUCCUGGAGGGCGCCGCGGUCCAGCGGGCCGAAAGCUCCGCCUCCCGAAGGCAGGGGCACCCCUCGGAACAUCAUGCCGCGACUUCCCGAUUCAUGCAGGAAGCCUCAGUCCACACCGGGCGCACGCGCAACACAGCGCCUGCGGCCUCGGGUCGCCCCGGCAACGAGCACCAUCACCACGACCGUCGGGCCCACCUCGACGAGAGGGUGCGCCGAGGCUACCACCCCAGGCGUGGGGGACGCUACAACAGCGGGGAGGAUCAGAGUCCCUCGCCCGAACCACCCGGUCCGCAGGCUUUCAGCCGGGCCAUACGACGGGCGCCGUUCUCGACCCGGUUCCGACCCCCGACUACUAUCACAAAGUACUCGGGGGAGACGAGACCGGAGCUGUGGCUCGCGGACUACCGGCUGGCCUGCCAACUGGGUGGAACAGACGAUGACAACCUCAUCAUCCGCAACCUCCCCCUGUUCCUCUCCGACACCGCUCGCGCCUGGUUGGAGCACCUGCCUCCGGGGCAGAUCUCCAACUGGGACGACCUGGUCCAAGCCUUCGCCGACAAUUUCCAGGGCACGUACGUGCACCCUGGGAAUUCCUGGGACCUCCGAAGCUGCCGACAGCAGCCGGGAGAGUCUCUCCGGGACUACAUCCGACGAUUCUUGAAGCAGCGCACCGAGCUGCCCAACAUCACCGACUCGGAUGUCAUCGGCGCGUUCCUCGCCGGCACCACCUGCCGCGACCUGGUGAGCAAGUUGGGUCGCAAGACCCCCACCAGGGCGAGCGAGCUGAUGGACAUCGCCACCAAGUUCGCCUCUAGCCAGGAGGCGGUCGAGGCUAUCUUCCGGAAGGAUAAGCAGCCCCAGGGCCGCCCACCGGAAGAUGCCCCCGAGGCGUCAACUCAGCGCGGCACCAAGAAGAAGGGCAAGAAGAAGUCGCAAGCGAAACGCGACGCCGCCGACGUGGACCUUGUCGCUGCCGCCGAGUACAAGAACCCUCGGAAACCCCCCGGAGGUGCCAACCUCUUCGACAAGAUGCUCAAGGAGCCGUGCCCCUAUCACCAAGGGCCCGUCAAGCACACCCUUGAGGAGUGCGCCAUGCUUCGGCGCCACUUCCACAGGGCCGAGCCACCCGCGGAGGGUGGCAGGGCUCGCGACGACGACAAGAAGGAAGAUCACCAGGCAGGAGAGUUCCCCGAGGUCCGCGACUGCUUCAUGAUCUACGGUGGGCAAGCGGCGAACGCCUCGGCUCGGCACCGUAAGCAAGAGCGUCGGGAGGUCUGUUCGGUGAAGGUGGCGGCGCCAGUCUACCUAGACUGGUCUGACAAGCCCAUCACCUUCGACCAAGCCGACCACCCCGACCACGUGCCGAGCCCGGGGAAAUACCCGCUCGUUGUCGACCCCGUCAUCGGCGACGUCAGGCUCACCAAGGUCCUCAUGGACGGAGGCAGCAGCCUCAACAUCAUCUACGCCGAGACCCUCGGGCUCCUGCGUGUCGAUCUGUCCUCGGUCCGGGCAGGCGCUGCGCCUUUCCAUGGGAUCAUCCCCGGGAAGCGCGUCCAGCCCCUCGGACAACUCGACCUUCCCGUCUGCUUCGGAACACCCUCCAACUUCCGAAGGGAGACCCUGACGUUCGAGGUGGUCGGGUUCCGAGGAACCUACCACGCGGUACUGGGAAGGCCAUGCUAUGCGAAGUUCAUGGUCGUCCCCAACUACACCUACCUCAAGCUCAAGAUGUCGGGCCCCAACGGGGUCAUCACCGUCGGCCCCACAUACAAACACACGUUCGAAUGCGACGUGGAGUGCGUGGAGUACGCCGAGGCCCUCAUCGCCGACCUGGAGAGCCUCUCUAAGGAGGUGCCGGACGUGAAGCGUCAUGCCGGCAACUUUGAGCCAGCGGAGACGGUUAAGUCCGUCCCCCUCGACCCCAGCAGCGACGCCUCCAAGCAGAUCCGGAUCGGCUCCGAGCUCGAUCCCAAAUAGGAAGCAGUGCUCGUCGACUUUCUCCGCGCGACUGCCGACGUCUUCGCGUGGAGUCCCUCGGACAUGCCUGGCAUACCGAGGGAUGUCGCCGAGCACUCGCUAGACAUCCGAGCCGGAGCCCGACCCGUCAAGCAGCCUCUGCGCCGAUUCGACGAAGAGAAGCGCAGAGCCAUAGGCGAGGAGAUCCACAAGCUAAUGGCAGCAGGGUUCAUCAAAGAGGUAUUCCAUCCCGAAUGGCUUGCCAACCCUGUGCUUGUGAGAAAGAAAGGAGGGAAAUGGCAGAUGUGUGUAGACUACACUGGUCUAAACAAAGCAUGUCCGAAGGUUCCCUACCCUCUGCCUCGCAUCGAUCAAAUCGUGGAUUCCACUGCUGGGUGCGAAACCCUGUCUUUCCUCGAUGCCUACUCCGGGUAUCACCAAAUCAGGAUGAAGGAGUCCGACCAGCUCGCGACUUCUUUCAUCACGCCCUUCGGCAUGUACUGCUAUGUCACCAUGCCGUUCGGCUUGAGGAAUGCGGGCGCGACGUACCAGCGGUGCAUGAACCAUGUGUUCGGCCAACACAUUGGCCGGACGGUCGAGGCCUACGUCGAUGACAUCGUAGUCAAGACGAGGAAAGCCUCUGACCUCCUUUCCGACCUUGAAGUGACAUUCCGAUGUCUCAAGGCGAAAGGCGUGAAGCUCAAUCCCGAAAAGUGUGUCUUCGGGGUGCCCCGAGGCAUGCUCUUGGGGUUCAUCGUCUUCGAGCGGGGCAUCGAAGCCAACCCAGAGAAGAUCGCAGCCAUCACCAGCAUGGGGCCCAUCAAGGACUUAAAAGGCAUACAGAGAGUCAUGGGAUGUCUCGCGGCUCUGAGCCGCUUCAUCUCACGCCUCGGCGAAAGAGGUCUACCUUUGUACCGCCUCUUAAGGAAGGCCGAGUGCUUCACUUGGACCCCUGAGGCCGAGGAAGCCCUCGGGAACCUGAAGGCGCUCCUCACGAAUGCGCCUAUCUUGGUGCCCCCAGCUGCCGGAGAAGCCCUCCUGAUCUACGUCGCCGCGACCACUCAGGUGGUUAGCGCCGCGAUUGUGGUCGAGAGGCAAGAAGAGGGGCAUGCAUUGCCCGUUGAGAGGCCAGUCUACUUCGUCAGCGAGGUACUGUCCGAGACCAAGAUUUGCUACCCACAAGUUCAGAAGCUGCUGUACGCGGUGAUCCUGACGCGGCGGAAGCUGCGACACUACUUCGAGUCUCAUCCGGUAACUGUGGUGUCAUCCUUCCCCCUAGGGGAGAUCAUCCAGUGCCGAGAGGCCUCGGGUAGAAUCGCAAAGUGGGCGGUGGAAAUCAUGGGCGAAGCAAUCUCGUUCGCCCCUCGGAAGGCCAUCAAGUCCCAGGUCCUGGCGGACUUCGUGGCUGAAUGGGUCGACACCCAGCUCCCAACAGCUCCGAUCCAGCCAGAGCUUUGGACCAUGUUCUUUGAUGGGUCGUUGAUGAAGACAGGAGCCGGCGCAGGCCUACUCUUCAUCUCGCCCCUCGGGAAGCACCUACGCUACGUGCUACGCCUCCAUUUCCCGGCGUCCAACAAUGUGACUGAGUACGAGGCUCUGGUCAACGGGUUGCGGAUCGCCAUCGAGCUAGGGGUCCGAUGCCUCGACGCUCACGGUGACUCGCAGCUCGUCAUCGACCGAGUCAUGAAGAACUCCCACUGCCGCGACCCAAAGAUGGAGGCCUACUGCGAUGAGGUUUGGCGCCUGGAAGACAAAUUCUACGGGCUCGAGCUCAACCACAUCGCCCGGCGCUACAACGAGACUGCGGACGAGCUGGCUAAAAUAGCCUCGGGGCGAACAACGGUUCCCCCGGACGUCUUCUCCCGAGACCUGCAUCAACCCUCCAUCAAGAUCGACGACACGCCCGAGCCCAAGGCACCCUCGGCCCAGCCCGAGGUACCCUCGGCUCAGUCCGAGGCAUCUUCAGCACGACCCGAGGCACCCUCGGUCCGGCCCGAGCCACCCUCGGUUCAGCCCGAGGCACCCUCGGCACCCGAGGGUGAGGCACUGCGCGUCGAGGAGGAGCGAAGCGGGGGCACGCCUAAUCAAAACUGGCGGACCCCGCAUCUGCAAUAUCUCCACCGUGGAGAGCUACCCCUCGACCGAGCCGAAGCUCGGCGGUUGGCGCGGCGUGCCAAGUCGUUCGUCUUGCUGGGAGAUGAGAAGGAGCUCUACCACCGCAGCCCCUCGGGCAUCCUCCAGUGAUGCAUCUCCAUCACCGAAGGUCAGGAACUCCUACGAGAGAUACACUCGGGGGCUUGCGGCCAUCACGCAGCACCUCGAGCCCUUGUCGGAAACACUUUCCGGCAAGGUUUCUACUGGCCGACAGCGGUGGCCGACGCCACUAGAAUUGUCCGCACCUGCGAAGGGUGUCAGUUCUACGCAAGGCAGACCCACCUACCUGCUCAGGCUCUGCAAACCAUACCCAUCACCUGGCCUUUUGCCGUGUGGGGUCUGGACCUCGUCGGCCCCUUGCAGAAGGCACCCGGGGGCUACACGCACCUGUUGGUCGCCAUCGACAAAUUCUCCAAGUGGAUCGAGGUCCGACCCCUAAACAGCAUCAGGUCUGAGCAGGCGGUGGCAUUCUUCACCAACAUCAUCCAUCGUUUCGGGGUCCCGAACUCCAUCAUCACCGACAACGACACCCAGUUCACCGGCAGAAAGUUCCUGGACUUCUGCGAGGACCACCACAUCCGGGUGGACUGGGCCGCCGUGGCUCACCCCAUGACGAAUGGGCAAGUAGAGCGUGCCAACGACAUGAUUCUACAAGGACUCAAGCCUCGGAUCUACAAUGACCUCAACAAGUUCGGCAAGCGAUGGAUGAAGGAACUCCCCUCGGUGGUCUGGAGCCUGAGGACAACGCCGAGCCGAGCCACGGGCUUCACGCCGUUCUUUCUAGUCUAUGGGGCCGAGGCCAUCUUGCCCACAGACUUAGAAUACGGUUCCCCGAGGACGAGGGCCUAUGCUGACCAAAGCAACCAAGCUAGUCGAGAAGACUCGCUGGACCAGCUGGAACAGGCUCGGGACAAGGCCUUACUACACUCGGCGCGGUACCAGCAGUCCCUGCGACGCUACCACGCCCGAGGGGUCCGGACCCGAGACCUCCAGGCGGGCGACCUGGUGCUUCGGCUGCGACAAGACGCCCGAGGGCGGCACAAGCUCACGCCCCCCUGGGAGGGGCCGUUCAUCAUCGCCAAAGUUCUGAAGCCCGAAACGUACAAGCUGGCCAACAGUCAAGGCGAGGUCUACAGCAACGCUUGGAACAUCCAACAGCUACGUCGCUUCUACCCUUAAGAUGUUUUCAAGUUGUUCAUAUACCUCGCUCCCACGCAAAGUUUAGUCAUCAAGGAAGGGUCGGCUUGCCUCGGCAAAGCCCGACCCUCCCUCGGGGGCUAAAAGGGGGGAACCCCCUCUGCGUCGAAUUUUUUCCUCGAAAAAAAGAUCCUUUCUGCCAGAAUAUCUUUCGUGCUUUUCGACUACUUCGAAAGUGGAUCAUGAAAACGACGGAGUACACGUAAGCAGCCAAGGCUGACCGAGCCGAGGGACUCCUACGCCUCCGGGAUACGGAUACCUCAUUCAUCACCUUCCGCGAGAAGCAACUCUCGCCCACAUAGACAACUCUGUUACCGACGAAAAAGUCCAGAUACUCGAAACAAGAGGAAAAGAAACGCACCUUUACAACACGGCGAGGGUGUGUUUGGGCCUCGGCGGCCGUAGAAAACACACACUACAAGAUAAUCCGACCCUGCAGGCUCGGAUCUGGACAGUUGAAGGGAGCCGCAGCACCCUCGGCGUCGACAACACCUUCGGCGAGGUCCGACCUAGCCUCGGACGGCAACACGGUCCGAGGAUCUCCACUCUGAAGGACGACGUCAUCACCACGCCCGGGCCAUCGCCGCCAGGGUCUUCUCCGAGAAUCCGGCCCGAGUAGGCGGCUCGGCUGGUACCCCGAGGCCUCGGCCAGCUGUCCCCCGAGGACAUCAGCCUGACCCGAGGCCUCGGAAGAUCAACUCCGGCGUUGGUCCCGCUAACGGACGACCCGGCCAGGCUCCGGCCGACCAAGUCUUCUUUUCAAGCCAACUCUGCCUUUGUCCAUGCUGACACCGCUACCCCUGGCUUCGGCUCAUCGAAGAGCGGCCGAGGGGUUCCUUUAACUAAGCAAGAGAAGCCUCGGACAGCAAGGCCGACCGAGCCGAGGGACUCCUACGCCUCCGGGAUACGGAUACCUCACUCGUCACCUUUGCACAGGGCGACUCACGCUUGGUGAAGCGGUUCAGACAACCAACAGGCGACUCUUAGUGCUCGAAAAUGAGGAAAAAACACAGCCCCGUGCCAAAAAUACAUACAUGUUCAGGCCUCGACAGCCACAAUGAACAAAAACACUGGCAUUCAAAGUGCCAUUACAAACGGAACUCUGGUUCCACCUCCGCAGGUACGAACAACCCCACUCGAUGGGGGGGCCUGCGGAGCAAUAGAAGACCGACGAACGGCGCGCCGUCACCCGCUCCAGCAAUGACAACGACGAUGACUUCUGCUCUGGGGGGCCAAACAGCGGCAACGAUGACCUCAGGGCGGAUGCUGCUGCCGGGAGGCCCCCGCCCAUGCCCAAACUCAUGAGGCAAGGACGGGUAGAAGGCCAUAGAGUUGGAGGUCGGUCCGUAGGCGGCCCCGGCUAUCUCGUCGGCGGAAGAACCUCUUCCAACUGCCGUGGCGGGAGCCGGCACCGAGAGCGGCUCCAAAGCCACUCGGGUCCGAGAGCCAGGCACGCGGCAGCUGCCAGCGCCACGGACGACAACCGCCCUUCCCCCCGAUCACUGAGGGAAGGAGCGGGCCACCGCCCACGCAGGGGCCGACCCCAACUCGGCACACUCCCCUCCCCAGCCCUGGUGAUGAAAAUCCUUGAGGCUGAGGGAGGGGCAGAGGCCGCAGCCUGGCUUGCUUUCCCCCGCCAUCGAACUGGAGGUCACCAUCUUGGGUGACCGCCGGCGGAGGGGUGCAACCGGGCUGCAUGAUGAAAAUCCUUGAAGCCGAACGAUGGCUGAAAGGUACCAACUCCCACGGAGUUGCGUUCCCCCAACGACAAGGCGGAAGGACUGCAGGCAUCCCCCAUCAGGGGGUUCGGAAGGUGGAAAGACACGAUGCAUAAGGGAGCACGAAGACAUGGUCGCCUUUCAAGGGGGUCACCCUCCAUUUAAAGGCGACUCUCCCUACUUGCGUCCCCAGCCGUCGCAGGCUGAGUCUUCUCUAACACGUUCCAAGGUCCUCCCCCUACGACGCGGGGGCUGGGUCCCACACGUCAUGCAAUCCGACCUAGAGCAGAAGAAGCCAAACCGCCGCGCGCGGUGCAUGCAACCGCCCAGCGGUUACAAGCGGCCCUCCAUUUUUGCCCCGACCAGCGGGCGAAAGGGCGGGCAGCCAUGCAGGCGGCAUGCAACCGCGCCAAGUGGGCGCACUUCUCCGACUUCCAACACGCCCAGCAUGGAGGCCCAGGCCCACGCGUCAUGCAACCGGCGCGCCGGAUGCUGCGUGCGAGCAACUGCACCGCCACCCACGCCACUGCCACGCCUCCUCGACUGCGGAACCAGUACCGCGACUCGAGGCAACCCUACGCACGACCCAGCAGCACCAGCCUGGCGCGACGGUCAAUGCGGCCAAAAAUGGGCCGGCAGUAAUGGCGGUGGCAGGCGGGCAGGAGCAGCGGUCACGUCGUCAGCCAGGCAUACGUCCCACCCGGAGGCAGCGAGAGAACCCUCUCUCACGGCGUGAAGACGACGUGCCCGUGUUCCGUUCCUCGAACGGCUCGCGCACGCGCAAUGGCCGCCCCGCGAACCGCACGCCCCGUCGCAUUAACUCCGCGGCGGGACAGGCGGCGCCUCUGGCAGGAGAAGCAAGCGACGCUUCGCCUUCGCCAUAAUGACCGCAUCAAAAAAGGUACGCCAUGUCAUUCGAUUUCGAAUCCUUUUCCUUUUCCUCUUUCUCUCUCUUACGACAGGGACCGGGAAAGGGGGAUACCCCGAAAAGGAUCCUUCUCCGUGAAGGAACCAGGCUCCAAGCCUCCCUACUAAUCAGAGGUUCGAAGGCUGGCCCCUCGGAGGGGUUCAACAGCCGCCUCAGAGCGCGUGGGCUCCACACCCACUACUGGUCAGAGGUUCGAAGGCCGGCCCCUCGAAGGGUUCAAAGACCGCCUCAGGCUACUCGGGCUCCGCGCCCACUACUGAUCAGGGGUUCGAAGGCUGGCCCUCGAAGGGUUCACAGCCACCUCAGACGCAGAGCGAGGGAUGACCAUGGGUACGUUCGAUACAUAACCAAGGCUCGGGCUACGCUCCCGAGGUACCCUAGGACAUUUCCGAGACCAGCGGGAACGAUCUUGUAACGGAAUCCCAUCAGAGGGAGGCAUCAAGCCCUCGGACCCCGUCGACAGGGGACCGGGUCCGGCAGAUCACCCGCAGGUACUUUUGGGCGCGCCUCUGGGCCUCUAGCCGACCCCUAGCAAAUGGGGCACGGACAUCCGCUCGGAUUACCCGCCAGCAGCUCACUGGAGACACCAUGUUCGGCGCCCACCGAGGGCAGCAUGGCGCUUUCCCCCCUUCUCCUUUCGGAAAGGCGACGCAGGGGCGUAUGUAAAAAAGUCGAGUCUGUCCCUGAUCGUCCUCUCGCCCUGUGCAGAGGCUCGAGGGCUGCUCUCGCGAACCCGGCUCCGGCCAAACCGUUGACAGCGUCAAUAAACCAGCCCGAGAAUUUGGGACCCGACCGUGCACCCGGGCUACGACCAGCUCGCAUGAGGGAACGACCAGACCAGCCAAAGCAUUGCGCGAGGCAUUAAGACAUCGGAGGAGUCAAACCACUCCUCCGAGGCCUCGGGGGCUACACCCGGCGGGUGCGCUCGCGCGCACCCACCGGAACAAAACGCAACCGAGAAAGGCUGGUCCCCUUGCAAAAAAGUGCGACAAAAGCCUCCAAGCGAGUGUUAACACUCCCUUCGAGGCUCGGGGGCUACUGUCGGGGACCAUAAUUAGGGGUACCCUCAAGGCUCCUAAUUCUCAGCUGGUAACCCCCAUCAACACAAAGCUGCAAAGGCCUGAUGGGUGCGAUUAAGUCAGGGAUCGGUCCAUUCGCGGGACUCGAUCACGCCUCGCCCGAGCCUAGCCUCGGGCAAGGGCAGCCGACCCCGGAGGAUCUCCGUCUCGCCCGAGGCCCCCCUCCAGCGACGAACAUACUUUCGGCUUGCUCGAGGCCCUGUCUUCGCCAAGAAGCAACCCUGACCGAAUCGUCGCGCCGACCGACCAAAUCACAGGAGCAUUUAAUGCAAAGGUGGGCUGACACCUUUAUCCUGACGCGCGCCCUUCUGUCGACAGAGCCGAAGUGACCGCAGUCACUUCGCCGCUCCACUGACCGACCUAACAGAAGGGCAGCGCUGCCUGCGUCGCACCGACUGCAGUGCCACUUGACAGAGUGAGGCUGACAGGCAGUCAGGCCCGACCUCAGGCACCAUAGGAAACUCCGCUCCGCCCGACCCAGGGCUCGGACUUGGGCUAAGCCCCGGAAGACGACGAACUCCGCUCCGCCCGACCCAGGGCUCAGACUCGGGCUAAGCCCCGGAAGACGGCGAACUCCGCUCCGCCCGACCCAGGGCUCAGACUGGGGCUAAGCCCCGGAAGACGGCGAACUCCGCUCCGCCCGACCCAGGGCUCGGACUCGGGCUAAGCCCCGGAAGACGGCGAACUCCGCUCCGCCCGACCCAGGGCUCGGACUUGGGCUGAGCCCCGGAAGACGGCGAACUCCGCACCGCCUGACCCAGGGCUCGGCCUUGGGCUAAGCCUCGGAAGACGGCGAACUCCGCUCCGCCCGACCUAGGGCUUGGACUUGGGCUAAGCCCCGGAAGACGACGAACUCCGCACCGCCCGACCCAGGGCUCGGACUUGGGCUCAGCCCCAGAAGACGACGAACUCCGCUUCGCCCGACCCCAGGGCUCGGACUCAGCCCUGGCCUCAGCCGACGGUCUCCGCCUUGCCCGACCCAGGGGCUCGGACUCGACCACAGCCACGGAAGAUAGACUCGACCUCGACCUCGGAGGAGCCUCCACAUCGCCCAACCUAGGGCACGGACCGACCACGUCGACAGGAAGCGCCAUCAUUACCUUACCCCAAGCUGACUCAGGCUACGGGGAACAAGACCGACGUCCCAUCUGGCUCGCUCUGCCAGAUAGGCAAUGAUGGCGCCCCGCACGCUCUGUGACGACGGCGGCUCUCAGCCCCCUUACGGAAGCAAGAGGACGUCAGCAAGGACUCGACAGCCUCGACAGCUGUCCUUCCGCCAGGCUCCAGCGCUCCUUCGACGGCCACGACACCACACGAACCGGGUGCCAAAACCUCUCCGGCUGCCACGACGGCGUGUACUUAGGGCGCUAGCUCUCCUCCGCUAGACACGUAGCACUUUGCUACACCCCCCAUUGUACACCUGGAUCCUCCCCUUACGCCUAUAAAAGGAAGGACCAGGGCCCUCUUACAGAGGGUUGGCCGCGCGGGGACGAGGACGAGACAGGCGCUCGCGUGAGGCCGCUCGCUCCCUCUCCCACGUGGACGCUUGUAACCCCCUACUGCAAGCGCACCCGACCUGGGCGUGGGACGAACACGAAGGCCGCGGGAUUUCCACCUCUCUCACGCCUGUCUCCGGCCACCUUUCUCCCCCCUUCGCGCUCGGCCUUGCGCCGACCCAUCUGGGCUGGGGCACGCGACAACAUUUCACUCGUCGGCCCAGGGACCCCCCGGUCUCGAAACGCCGACAGGUAUGUGGAGUGAUAAAAUGAGGCACCAUCUAACCUCACUCCACGAAAGCAUAUGGGAUAUUGUUGAGUUUGGAGCGCAGGCACCGAAGGUGGGGGACAAGGACUAUGACUCGGACGAGGUUGCCCAAAUUAGGCACUUUAACUCCCAAGCCACAUCUAUGCUCCCCGCCUCCUUGUGUCGAGAGGAGUAUAACAAGGUGCAAGGGUUAAAGAGCACCAAAGAAAUUUGGGACGUCCUCAAGACCGCACACAAAGGGGACAAGGUGACCAAGAUCACCAAGCGGGAAACGAUCGAGGGGGAGCUCGGUCGAUUCGUCAUCAACAAAGGAGAAGAGCCACAAGCAAUGUACAACCGACUAAAAACAAUGGUGAACCAAGUGCGCAACCUCGGGAUCACCAAAUGGGAUGACCAUGAGAUGGUCAAGGUUAUUCUUAGAUCCCUCGUAUUUCGUAAUCCUACUCAAGUUCAAUUAAUACGUGGGGAUCCUAGAUAUAGACUAAUGUCUCCCGAGCAAGUGAUUGGCAAGUUUGUGAGCUUUGAACUUAUGAUCAAAGACUCCAAACACAUUGUCAACUUAGAGCAAGGCGCCACCUCCACACCCGAGGUGCAACCCAUCGCAUUCAAAGUGACGGAAGAAGAGAAGGAGUCUACAUCAAGUAGGCUUCCAAUCGACGCCUCCAAGCUCGACAACGAGGAAAUGACACUCAUCGUCAAGAGCUUCCGCCAAAUCCUCAAGCAAAGGAGGGGAAAGAACUAUAAGUCCCACUCCAAGAAGGUGUGCUACCAGUGUGGUAAGUCCGGUCACUUCAUUGCUAAAUGUCCAAUUUCUAGUGAAAGUGACAGGGACGACGACAAGAAGGGGAAGAAGAAAGAAAAGAAGAGGUACUACAAGAAGAAGGGCAGUGAUGCCCACAUAUGUUGGGAAUGGGACUCCGAUGAGAGCUCCACCGACUCCUCCUCCGACGAGGACGCCACCAACAUCGCUGUCAACAAGGGCCUCCUCUUCCCCAACGUCGGCCACAAGUGUCUAAUGGCCAAGGACGGCAAGAAAAAGAAGGUACACUCUAGAGCCACCCCAAAAUAUACAACAUCUAGUGAUGAGGGUAGCUCAAGUGAUAGUGAAGACAAUUUAAUGUCUUUUUUUGCCAACCUUAGCAUGGACCAAAAGAAGAAAUUGAAUGAAUUAAUAGAAGCUAUUAAUGAGAAGGAUGAACUCUUGGAUAGCCAAGAGGACUUCCUCAUUAAAGAAAACAAAAAAAUUGUUAAGUUGAAAAAUGAUUAUGCUCAGGAAGUAGAAAAAUGUGAAAACCUAUCUAAAGAGCUUAGCAUUUGCUAUGAUUCAAUUUCUAGCCUUAGAAAUGAAAAUGCUAGUUUAAAUUCUAAGGUUAAAGAAUUAAAUGUUUGCAAUGAUUCUAUUUCCUGUCUUAGAAAUUGUUGGUCACUUGUUCUCAAAUGCUGAGUUAAGAACAAGGCAACACAAAUGUUAAUGGUUAAAGACCUUCGUCUUUCGAAGCAUUAUUUCCCUUAGGGUAUAAUGAUCUUCAGACGAAGGUCAUGAAGGGCAUAUCUUCGUCAUCUCAAUAUACAAAAAUAUAGGCAAGGACGUACAAAACAUAGAAAGACCAUGAUUAAUCAUAUUAAAUCAUUAAAUCAUGUAUAUAUUGACAUUAUAUAAUAAUGAACAAACAUUAAUGAUAUUAAGUUACAUUAGUACCUUCGGCUUGACAGAAGGUAAAAGUUCGAGGGUUACGUGCGAGCGAUUACAAGUCAGCGUGAACAGUACGGUGUUACUGUUCAUCUAUUUAUAGGCACAGGACGCAGCCUGGGUAAAAUUACAUUCAUAUCCCUAACACUUACUAUUAGCUAAAAGGUAAGCUGUCGAGGACUAAGUAGUCUUUUCCCUUUUAAGUCGGUUUCAUUCUCCAUCGUCAUCUUUGCGCUAAGCCGAAGCUUCUCCAUCCAUAGCUUCGGAACUGGUCCAUCCUUCUUCCAGGUCACGCCUUUCAUACUAUGUACACCUUCAUCUCAAAGCCAAAGCCUCAUGUGACAAUAUACUAUACUGGAAGAUAUGUUAGUCGUGUUUUUGAGGACCUUCGAAAGACGAAGGCCCCCAACAGUAGCCCCUCGCAGUAUUAAUUUGUUCUUGUAUCUUAACGAAUUCAGACUGUGACGUGAACGAAGGCCUUUAGCCGAAGGUCCGAAAAAACACUUUCCCUUCGCUAGAAUAGCGAAAGUCAAUGACAAAUGGGGCCCGCCAAGUUGCAAUGCACGAGGCAUAUAAAUAUAAACCCAUAACGAUAACAUCUGCUGCGCCAUUUCAAUUGUUUGUGUUGUUUUCUCAAGUUUUAGAUUUCUUGCUGUCACAUUUCACUUGUUUUGUGAGCUUCGGCAUUUGCACAAGUGUUCGCUAUACGUCUAAAGAGAAUAUGUCUGAGGAGAAGAAGAUUGACCCUGCUCUUACUGGGUUUUACGAAGCUAUGGAAAAAAUAAACAUAGAGAAGAUUACAAACGAAAUAAUGGCUGAUUUGUCUGAAGAUUCUAACGAUAGUGAUGACUAUGAUGUGGAAAGUGAAGACGAAGAUGCGGAAAAUCGGCCCUGGCGACCAAGCCACAGCAUCUUCGGAAAAUCAUCCAUUAAGCAGAGCCAAAUUGACGCUAUGAAAGGGAACUAUUUCUGAGAUAUUUCAAUUGUGAGAGCUGGAGGAGAUAGUGCUGCACCUGCUCUCGAAGAGAAUGAGGUGGUUGUUUAUAAGAGUUUUAUGAAGGCUGGGCUUCGGUUCCUAUUGAGCAAAUUUCUGGUUGAGGUGUUGAAGACCUUCGAGAUUUUCCUGCAUCAAAUUACUCCCGAAGCCAUUGUUAGGAUGGGGGUUUUUAUUUGGGCCGUGAGAAGCCAAGGGAUGGAACCAAGCGCAAAAUGCUUCUGCAAUAUGCACGAGCUGCUGUACGAGAUGAAGGCUACUGGCAAGGAUCAAUAUCACAACAAUUUUGGUUGCUACGGCUUCGUGCCCUGCGCUGAUGUAAGUUAUCCGGUCCCAACAUUCCGAAAAAGGUGGCCUGGGGCCUGGAUGGAAGAAUGGUUCUAUGUUGAAAAUAAUUUAACUGAGAGGGAAGAUAUAAAAGGAAUUAUUCAACGUCCCAUCUGGUCUCGCUUCGGCAUCAGGAGGCCAGCCACCACUCUUGGGAAUGAUAUAGAGGCAUGCUAGAGAAGCUUAAACACCGUGUGCACUUUUAUUGGUACAAGAGACCUGAUUCAAGAACAUAUCGCUUACAGAGUAUGGCCGCUCGUGAAUGAGUGGGAGAUGCCGAAGGAAGCUGCUGCCGGGUCUAGUCAGGGUGGCCUGGUCUAUCUAAAGUAUACAUUCAGAUACAGAGGCGAGUUUGAUGAGCCAAAUGAUGAAUGGUUGAGCAGUAUCACUACUAGAAAUAUGCUUAUUUAAGACAUACAUCUUAAGACAAAUAUCAGUGCAUUUUAUAGAAGCGUCUUUUAUCAUAUGGUGCUGAGUAAGGUAAGACAGUUUGUUGGACAUCCGUCUUUAAUGAAGAAGGUUUUUGAGACAGAUAUAUGGUUGGAAAUGUCUUAUAUUGAUUUAAUACAGUUUGAUUUUGAAAACCGUCUCAAAUAAAUAUACCUUUUGAGGCAUUAAGUUCACAAGAAGUGUCUUUUAUUUUGGUUAGUAUAUUAGACACUUAUGUAUAUGAAACUAUCUCAAAUAAAGAUAUUAUUAGAGUCAUCUAGACUAUACAAAAUUGUCUUAGAUGUUAGUAAGUAUACUAGAAACUUGUAAACAUAAAACCGUCCCGUACGAUAUUUCUGAUAAGACAUAUUGUGAAAAACAUAGUCAAUAGUAAAUUCUGAUUAGAUUGAACUAAACAUUUUUUGGAAUUUAAAAUGAACUAGUUAGCUGACUGUAUGUUCGUACGGUUUCUAUAUAUCAUAUAGGUAAAAAAUCUUGCUUAAAAUAAGAAACUUCUUCAAAUAAAAUUAUACGUUUGAAAUAUGAUUAUUUUUUAUUUUCUCAUUAACAUUAUGUUUAUAGUUAUAAUAUCAUCUCUUUGUACGGUAUAAGCAACCUGAUAAGCGGUGGUUAAUGCCACAGAUAUUUCUCUUUAUAUCCGUAUUGCACAUAUAUACAAUACAUUUUAUUAAUAUAGCGGUGGUUAAUGCCAUCUCCUGUGUCCGACGCCCAUCGCCGAGGCUGAGAGGCAAGAUCCGUCAUCUUCAGUGCCCCCAGCGCGGCGCCCCAAACUCCCAGGCUAUGCUUUUGUUUAUGUUUUAUUGUCAUUUCAUGAUUCAUGACAUGGCAGGCUUGUAACGCCCCGAAUUUUGGAGUUGAAUUUUUUCUUUUCUUCACUCGCCAAAUUCGGGCUUUACCCUUUUCUUUUCCUUUUCUCCUUGCUAAGCCUUGAUCUUUUCAAAAGUUAUAGCGAGGAUAAGCUCGACAACUGGUGUGAGUAAACCCUAAAAAUAUUUUCUUUGGUUGUUGCAUCAUGCUGAACCACGCAUCUUUUUCUUGUGAUACUUGCUUGGUUUCCAUAAAGAAUGCGCUUAGUAGAAGGUUAGAGGGAAAUAGAUAAUGGGAAAAUAGGAAAAAUAAAUAAAAAGAAGGGAAUUCCCCUCACUCUCCCCCUCUUGGGCCGUCGUCCCGCGGCCCAGCUCGGCCGCGCCCCCUCCCUCCCCCUUAGCCCAGCCGAGCCCCCUCUCCCUUGGGCCGGCUCUCAGCCAUGGCCCAGCCGGCUCCCAGCCGCGGCCCGCCCUGCCUCUCCCCCCGCCUUGGGCCGAAUUGGCGCUGCGGUGGCCCAACCGCCCCACCCCGCGUCCUGCGCGCGCGCCGCGCGCGUGGGCGCAACCGCCGCCGCCGCCAUCCCAGGUGGGCCCCGCCCGUCAGCCGCGCCCUCCCCCAAAACCGCCUCCCUCUUUCUCUCUCCCCUCUACCCCCUAGCGCACGACUCCCUCUUCCCCCUCCACCUCGUCGCCGAUCGGACCCGCCCCGCCGCCGUCCGCCCGCGCCGCCAUCGCCCCUUCCGUGGUGAGCCCUGGCCCCCUCCUUCUUCCUCCCCCUCUCUCCUUCUUCCCCUUCCCCUUCCCCUGCUCGUGCGGCCCAGCGCGGUGCGCGGCUCGGCACGCCGGCGCGCGGCCAUGGCGCCCCUGUCGCGUCCGCUCGGCCUCGCGCGCCACCCCCCUCGCGCCCUUCCCCUGCGCGCGGUCGCGGCGGCUCCGGCCAGCGCGCGGUCCCGUCCGGCCAGGACGCGACCCGUCCAUGGCGCGACCCUCUCUCCCUCCCCGCUCCGGCGCGCACGGCUUCCCCUGCCCCGACGUGCUCGUCCGCCGUCCCUGGCGUGCCCGCUCGGCCUCGCCGCCCCUGCCCGUGGUGCGGUUCCCCGCCCCGGCGUGGCCUCGCCUCGGCGCGGCCCGACCUCGCUCCCCCGGCCGCGGCGCGCGCGGUCCCGGCCCCCUCCCUACGCAGCCUCGCCUUGCCGGCCCCGGCGCGCUCGCCUGGCGCGGCCCGGCUCGCUCGCCCUGCGCGCGCGGCCCGGCUCGCUCGCCCUGCGCGCGCGGCCCCUCCCCGCGCAGCAGCCCGUGGCGACGCGGCGUGGCACGCCCGGCGUGCGCGUGCCCGCCUCGGCGUGCUCCGUCCCUCCCCUGUCCCGGCGUGGCCUUGAGCUCGGCUAGCUUCGCGGUCCCCCGCGUUUGGCCCCGGCGUGGCCCCGUUGCCGCUCGCGGCGCGCAACGCGCAGCUCGGCCCCGACGUGUGCGUGGCUCGUUCGCGUCACGUUAGCGUGGCUUUGCGCGCGCAUGUGCUUGUGUGGUGCGCACGGUGCUUUGGCACGGCUCGUCGUGCCCUCGGCGCGCUCGUCUACCCCCCCCCCCCCCGUGUAUUUUAUGCGCGCUAAGCACGUUAUUCAUAUCAAUAAAUGGAAACUCAAUUUAGAAAUUGGUUACGUUAGUUAUUUCAUGUAGCUAAUCUUGGAUCUCGUUUAAUGUUGAUCAAUUGAAAAUAGUUAUAAUUUUAUUAGUGCAUGUGGCUAAUAUUUGUUAGUGUAACUCGAGGGAAUUAGAUCACGUAAUGAUUAGUUAUGUAUCUACCCGUAAUAUGCUUCGACUAUAGCUUUAACCACUGUGAGACCUUCCUUCUUCUCUUUCUAGCCAUGGCGAAUGCAAUAUCGUAUGUCAUAUCUUAUGCAUAUUUGACUUAUCUGCUUUCUUGUGUGGUGUACUGUUUAUUUCCUAAUUCGAAUGGAUGGAUGUAUGUAUGUUUGCGCUCGCAUAGAGAACGAUCUGGUUGAGGAGCCCAAAGAACUCGCAGGAGAAGCCCCUGAGCAGCAGUCGGUUGGUGGAGGCAAAUGUCCUUUGACCUAUCUCUGUCCUAUACAUUCUUUAAUUCACCUCCUGCAUUUCACAUUUAUACCUAAGGAUUGACUAGCUUUUGCUAUCCAUGUCCUUGUUUACCUAUUUGGGUUGGAUUAUUAUUGUUUAGCUUUAUGCUAUUGCUCAACUCUAAUCAAUGAACAUGAUGAGAAUUAUCAAUGAUACACUGUUUUCCCCUCCUUUAUUAUGAUGUGAUACUUGUGGCAUUCAAGGGGGGCUUGAGCGGUUUCUCGAGUGCCUCUCCGUAAGGACCUGUUUGUUGGAUGACCGCCCGGGAAAACAGUGCAACCAUGAGGGUGGAAUGAGAUGCCCUUAGCUGAAUAAUUAGAGGAACCGGGGUGUAGUUCGCUUAGCCGUCGUGCCGUCAAUGGGGCUCGGUGUAUGCGGCUCGCUCUGCCAAGUUUGGGUUUGCCCCUUGGGGAGGAGUGCGGUGCAUUUAGGAAACCUAAUGGGCGGCUACAGCCCCGGGGAAUCUUUGUAAAGGCUACAUAGUGAUGCCCUGCUGGGUCACCUUGGUAGUGUUUAAUGGAGAGUCAUGAUCUCCGGGCAGAAUGGGAAUCACGACUUGUGGGUAAAGUGCACAACCUCUGCAGAGUGUAUGAAAACUGAUAUAUCAGCCGUGCUCGCGGUUAUGAGCGGCCAAGGGAGCUCCAGUGAUUAGUGGUACUUGAUCAGAGAUGUUCGGAUUGAAGGUGGCAAUGAGAUUGAUGGUUUUGGUUAUGACUAUGGUACUGGUAAGUGGUAUUCUUUCCGUUUGGAAAGGGUACAUCGGGUUAAUAACUUGGGUUAUUGCUAAAACCUGGCUUUCUACUAGUAAAUAAUAACCUGACCAACUAAAAGCAACUGCUUGACUUAACUCCACAUAAAGCUAGUCCACUACAGCCAAACAGGAUACUUGCUGAGUAUGUUGAUGUGUACUCACCCUUGCUCUACACACCAACCCCUCCCCCCAGGUUGUCAGCAUUGCAACCACUGCUUAGGAGAAGAUGAAGCCGUGGAAGGAGACUUCCAGGAGUUCCAAGAUUACGACGAGUUCUAGGCGUGGGUUAGCAGCAACCCCCAGUCGGCUGUCUGUGAAGGUCGCGUGUAUCUACGUUUCGUUUUCACACUUUGAUUAUUGUAAAGACUAUGUGGAUGUCUCAGACAUAUGAUGUAAUCGACUAUUAUUACCCUUUUAUGUUAUCAUUUGAGCAAUGUGUGAUGAUUUCCAGUUAUGUAACUGCUGUGUACGUGAAUUGCUGAUCCUGGCACGUACAUGGUUCACAUUCGGUUUGCCUUCUAAAACCGGGUGUGACAAGGCUCCAGGCUAUGCUUUAGACAUUUAAUAAGUAUAUUCAGCUCAAAUGAAACGAGAUCUAAACCAGAGGGUUAAAGGCAUGUUUGGUUUGUGGCUAAAUGUGCCACACUUUGCCUAAGUUUAGUCGUCCGAAUUGAGGGCCUGUUUGGUUUACUACCUAACUUGCCACACUUUGCCUAACUUUUCUGCCUAAGGUUAGUUCUUCAAUUCGGAUGAUUAACCUUAGACAAAGUGUGGCACAGUUAGCCGUGAACCAAACAGACCCUGAAUAAAUAACCUUAGGCGGAAAAGUUAGGCAAAGUAUGGCAACUUAGGUAGCGAACCAAACAUGUCUUAAGUCUCACAUCAUACCACCCGUUCCUAUUUUUCCUAAAGCAGGGGCAGGGCAAACCGUAUUGUUGGCUCUGCCUAGGGUUUUAGCACCUGCCGCCGCAGCCUCCCUUCUACUGCCGCCGCAACCUCCCCAUCCUUCGAAUCCCAUCCGACCUAGCCCUACAACCCACCGGACGACGAGCAGCGAGGCCCGCGGCCGAGAUGGACCAGUACCUGAGGGUGGAGUGGCCGUGGAACGAGUCAACCAUCAAGGAGAACGAGAUCCGCAUCACCGCGCAGGGCCUCAUCCGCAACUAUGUCUCCUACGCUACCUCCCUGCUCCAAGUGCCUGGGCUUGUCCUCGCCAUCGCCGUCGUAUCGUAUUGUACUUAGGAUGCGCUGUUUUGUUCGAGUCUCGUCCCUGUCGAUUCGAAGAGAUCCCCAGCAACAUGAGGGAGGUGUUCCUGACCGGCGCCACCUCCAAGCUCCAUCACGCUCUACCUCUGCAGGAAGAAGAUCAGAGUCUUGGUAAGUGCUACACAUAAUCUGCUCAGCAUCAUCGAUCCAUAGAUGAUGACCUGUGUCUUGCAUCUAACCUCUCUCUCUCUGUCUCUUAGAUGUUCACGGUGUUGUCGGAGAGGUUCCUGAAGAUCCAGAGGGAGGCGCCGCUGGAGUACCAGCAGUACCUCGUGCAGGUGACCAAGUACCAGGCCGCACAGAACUGCAAGGUACGUAUGCACGCAUGGUUACAUUUACUAUAGAACUGGAGUUAUUUUUUGAUGCAAAGGCUGCCAGGUCAUGGUGAUUUCACGUCCGUUAGGCUCGAGAGGUGGACUCAAACAUCCAAGUUUUGCAAGUUUUGAUGUUGGAUGUUAAAUUUCUAUGCUCACUCCUCGUUUGGUUAUUGAUGUACUAUUUCCAUCUCAUGUCACAAAUUUGGCAUAAGGAAUGGGUAUUGGUGGCUAUUGACUAUGUUUGUUUCCACGUAUUAUACAUGUACAAUGGAACAUUUGAUAAUAGUUUUGCAUGAACUAUUGGCGUUGGCUAUCUAAAAGGACAGAAAGGUAGACAUGAGCAACAGAUCUCGCUCCAUGGGCUGAAACUGGGAUUCGUGAUGGUCAGCUAAGCAUACCUUCGCCUUCAAAUUUGCGUAGCUUCUUUUUUAUUCUGCAAGUUGUUUGGUCUGCCGUUCAAAUGCCUUAUUAUUCUGCGAGCUGUUUUAAGAUUGGGCCUCAAUUUUUUUUCCAGGCAGAAAGUGCUACUGCCGCUCUCAACUGUAGCGGUGUGGUACUGGGAUCCUUGCCAAUAAGGUAAAACUCUGACUGAUCUUCUUACGCUUUGCAUUGAGGAAGGAGCUCUUCUGGGCGGUUGGAUAUCAGAGUCGUUCUAGUGUGUUUUCAGGGUGAGCCCGUCCAAAACGCCCGUGCGUCCCCGCGCCCCUCGCCAGCUGAUGUCGUCCUAGGUAUACAUACAGGAGGUGCUGACGAUGACACUGCUCAUAUAUAAGUAAUAGAGAUAGACAUGUAUGAAAAGGGUCUUUUGUUUUCAAGUAGUGUGUAGUUGCUGUUACUUUUAACAGCUAAUGCAAUCUGAAUGAGUCACCUAUGAAUGCCAUACUGGAAUUUGUUGCGCUUUUGUUGAUCAUUAUUAUUUUACAAUCUAGGCUAGGGGAUUGAAGAAGCACUUGAAGAGGCUCAAUGCGCCCAAGCAUUGGAUGCUCAACAAGCUUGGCAGAGCUUUUGUAAGUAAACAAUAUUUUCUAGCUUUGGUACCUACAAUCUUCUGUACUUCCCCAUUUGUCUGAUGCUUCAGGUUGGUCUUUUUUUCUGUAGGCUCCCAAGCCAUCUUCUGGACCUCACAAGUCCAGGGAGUGCCUGCCUUUGAUCCUCAUCAUCAGGAACAGGCUCAAGUAUGCACUGACGUACCGUGAGGUCAUUUCUAUCCUGAUGCAACGCCAUGUACUUGUUGAUGGCAAGAUCAGGACUAACAAGACCUACCCUACUGGGUUCAUGGGUAUGCCUAUAUCUCUAUUAAUGCAUAAAGAUACCUAUACACAUAUUUUGGUUGCUGAUUUGUGGUGUCAUUUUUUUGGCAGAUGUCAUUUCCAUCCCUAAGACAAACGAGAACUAUAGGCUGCUUCCGUCUUCACCCAAUCAGGGAUGAGGAUGCCAAGGUUAGGCCAAUUCUCUUACACAUCAUCUCUCAUUGUUCUAGUUGAGCAUGAUGAUCUUGGUAGCUAUGUGAGGUUGCUGUUUUUCAUUUAGAUCUGUGUACCUUAACCUUGCUAUACUGUCCAUAUGUGUUGUGUGCAUGAAAGUCUUGCAUUGAAAAUGUCAUGUGCUACAAUCAUUAGGACUAUUAAUAGAUGUUGCUCUGUCUAUCUAUCCAUUUACAUCGCUGGAAAUUCCCAUGCCCUUUCAUAGUACGCCUGUGAAAUGUUCACUGUUUUUCUAUUGGUUUUAUGUGCAGUUCAUGCUCUGUAAGGUGGGGUCUGUUCAGUUUGGCCAGAAAGGCAUCCCCUACCUGAACACCUAUGGCGACCGCACCAUCCGCUACCCCGACCCGCUCAUCAAGGCCAACGACACCAACAAGAUCGAUCUAGAGACCAACAAGAUCAUGGACUUCAUCAAGUUUGACGUCGGCAACGUGGUCAUGGUGACCGGCGGGAGGAACACCGGGCGUGUAGGAGUGAUCAAGAACAGGGAGAAGCACAAGGGCAACUUCGAGACCAUUCACGUGCUGCUUGGAGCUUUUUGCUAUGUCUAGUUUUCUCCUAUUUGUUGUACAGGAAAACAUAGAAUGGAAUUCAAAUUUGGUGGCCGCAAAAGAGUAGAGACUUGUUUCAUAUAAAGUUAGGCUUAACAUUAGUGCAAACAGUUGUAUUUUAGUUUAGAUUUAGAGUACACUUAUGUAUGCGUUGUUUGACAAUGCUUAUUUAUGAUAUAUUGAAUGGUACUUAUUUAUAUUAUAUUAAUUAUAAUGUUGUUCAAUAUAUGUGUAUGUAUAUUUCUCUUUCAAAUUAUUAUAACGUGAUAUCUGAUACUGCCGUGUAAGUCAUUUUGUUUAAAUCUUAAUAAGACGGUCACCAAAAUGUCUAAUAUCAGUCUCCUAAAUAAGACGAUUUCUAAAACGUCCAUUAUUAGUCACCUAAAUAAGAUGGUUUUCUAUUGUAAUCAUCUAUUAUUGUAGGAUAUUCGAGACAGUUUGAUAAAUACUUUAUGACUUAUAAUGUUUGUAUUCUCUACGGUCCUUUAGAAGCAGUGUCUUAAACAAAAACCUAAUUCAAGACGGUUUAUCGGACAAAAUGACUUAAACAAAUACCUUUUUCAGACGGUUAUAAAUUAAAAAUUGUCUUAUAUAAUAUCUUUUAAGACGGUUUAUAACCAUCUUAAAAGUGGGACAUCUUUUACGACUCCAUCAAAUUUGGACACUUCAUAAGCGUCUUAAGAACUAAAAAUUAACCGUCUCAUAUAACAUGUUUUGUAGUAGUGUAUUGAGGCAACUAGCGAUGAAUUGCUUGGGGCUUACACUAGAGCCGAAGAUGAUGCUUUGACCUCAGCCUUUGGAGGUCGAGGCAAGAAUAGGCUGAACAGAGUUUUCGACGUGAUUAGCUUCAUAUACCCUGAUUAUUGCUAUCCCUCGCGAAAGCAGGGAAAGAAGAGAAAAACCACCGCUUCGUCAUUCCCUAUUGUGCCGAAGGGCAAAGAUCAAGGUCUUGAUGCACCGGCCGAGAUACAUUGAGAUGACCACAUUGCCGAAGCUAAGUGAAGGGACAUCUUCCACUGCCGAAACAGAACAACCUGCUUCUGCCAUUCCCAGGGAAGACCUGACUGAAUUACCGAAGGUUCCUACAGUCGGACCAGCCGAAACGCCGAAACUUGAUGCCGAAGCGAAAGAAGAGGCGGCCAAAGAGCUAGAGCUAGGGGAAAAGGUAGAGCUGCCAAAAAUCUUGAGCCCACCAGCAGAGUCAGAAUUGCCGAAGAUAACAAGAGCUCCUGCAACAACUCCUAAGAGGAGGAGAAUGGCUAGCGUGCUAGACACUGUCAUGGAGACAACAAGGGCAUUAACUCCUGCCCCUGCAAAGAAAAUUGUCGAAGCUGCUAUAAGUCGCGCUGAAACUGAAGAUGGGCCCUCAGUGCCUGCUGAGACGGAGCCUACCGCAACUGAGAUAGGGCUAAGCAAGAAUCUCUAGAUGUUGGCAUGGCUAUGGAGAAGGAUGUGGCCGAAAAAGCUAAAUCUCCUGCUCCUGAAGCACCGUCCGAAGAUCUUGACUUUAUUAUUCGACAUGCUUCGGGAAAAGACUAUCUAAAGGAGAAAUUGCAGAAGCCAAACACUAUGCCCGAGAACUGAAAUACCUGAAGGGGCCUUAGUGUUCAACGACACUGACGAUGAUGAUUUCCUAUACUUUCUCCCGGACAAUAAAGAAAUAUCCGUCUACCGGGAGAUGGCCAAAAAUAUGGGAUUUCCGAAGCUCGAAGCUGGCCUCUCCGCUAUGUCAAAAGAUGACCUUGCGGAUAGCCUUGCAUACAACAGUCUGAAGGUAUGAAAGUGAUGAACUUAAAAAUAGAUUAUCUUGUCUUGUAUACUCGUGCUGAUUCUAUCUUUUUGCAGGGCUUAAUUCUUAGCAACACUUUGAGGGCGCAAAAGAAUGCAGAAGAUGAAAGCUGCGUGAUAGCCCUUGGCAACCUUCGGUCAGAAGUUAUCAAACUAAGAAAUGAAGCCUUGGAGAAGGAUAAAAUUCUACUUUCAUUGGUGGAUAAAGUGAAGGAUGAUGAAGCGAAAUUUAAUGCUCAAUCCGAAGCUCCUAAAGUCGAAAUUGAAGACCUUCGGAAAAACUUGCCGAAGCUAAUGAAAAUUUUGCACUUGCAAAAUCUAGUCAAGAAAUAAGUGAAUGGUCGAACGCUAGGCUGGAGAAAAAUGUUGAGGAGCUUCACGAAUCCAAGGAAAGGUGCUUUAAGAAAUCCUUGGAUUGCGUAAGAAAAUUGAAAACAGCUUUGCCAAAGUAGGUGCUUAUUCUUCCGAAGAGAAUUUUAUUCGAGGUGACCCCAAUGGCGUUAUUGAUUGGAUAAGCGGGGAAGCCGAAGCUUUUGAAGAGAUCUUGAGCGAUCGUGGGGAUAUCUGUGCUUUCACUGGCGCUAGAGGUAUUGUGGCAAUUAUGGAGAAGGCUGGUUGCGACCACGUUAAAGCUGCGGCCCAGACUGAAGCCGCCUUCUCUACUGACAACACGAGAGACCCUUCGGCCAAAGCUACUUUGGUGGGUGGAAAGUUUUACUCCGAUGUUUGGGUGAACGGUGGCCGAGAAUUGGCAAACAAAAUUAUAAAAAAGAAUAAAAAGAAACCCAUGAUCCCCAAGAAGAAGCUAGGCGAGCCGAAGAAGCUGCUGCGCGCGCAAGGCGUAUAGGUAUUGUUUUUGAAUUUUAGCUUCGGCGUUUAUUUUCUAGCUUCGAACUAACAGUUUGCCUAUUACAGCUGAAUUAUCACCGUUGCCCGAGCCAUACAACCCCCUAGCCGAUCUGGUCAUGAAAGAAGCACUGGAUAUAAUGAGCCUUGCUAACUCCAUCGUCGACGGAGUUGUCGACAAGCUGCUGAACGAAGCCACCGAAAAAAUACUUAAGGAAGAUUAGACUUUUUUUUGUAAUGAUACUAUGUAACAUUUGGUGUAUGGAACAAUUAAUCAGACAUGUAAAUUAUUGUAAUAUAUUUCUUUACGAUGCAUGAAAUUUAUGCACAUACCGUUUUUGAGCCUUCGGCGAAAAAACACCUUCUCUUCUUUUCAUGCUUCGUAAAGAAAGAAGCCCCUUUUUAUGUCAAAUCUGUUAUGAUGAAAUUGUGUUUGCCGAUGGUUUGCUUCGUGCCUCAGCACAUUUUCAUUCAACAAAGUAUUGCCGAAGAUCUGCUUCGUAUCCAAUCUUUUUGUCGUUGAUGCGAUAUGAUGUAUGAUGUAAUGUUAUGCGGAAUAAUGUGAUGCUUAUAUGAUGGUGAUGCCGAACACACACACACACACGCCCAGACUAGAACACACAAGACUCUGCAUCCCCUUAGGGACGUCUUUGGAGACUUUAAGCUCUACAUCCCCUUAGGAACGACUUUGGAGCUUCUUCACCUUAUAUUUCGGUGGUAUUUAAGCUCUGCAUCCCCUUAGGAACGACUUUGGAGCUUCUUCACCUUCUAUUUUGGUGGUAUUUAAGCUCUGCAUCCCCUUAGGAACGAUUUUGGAGUUCUUCACCUUCUAUUUCAAUGGUAUUUUGGCUCUGCAUUCCCUUAGGAACGACUUUUGAGCUUCGUAACUUACUUUGUGCUCCCUUAGGAACGACUUUUGUAGCUUCAAAACUUACUCUAUGCUCCCUUAGGAAUGACUUUUGUAGCUUCGAAAUUUAUUCUGUGCUCCCUUAGGAACGACUUUUGUAGCUUCGGAAGUCUGUUAGAAAGAAGCAUUUUUUCUUAAUGAUACAUGCACAAUUAUUACAUGAGACCAAAAUUAAGUCUUUCGUGACUUGUUUUUCACACAAGAAAAAUAAGAUGACAGAAAAGAAAAAAAAUACAUCAGGGGUAGGAUAUUCUUUUAGUAGAUAUGCUUGGAUUCAGGCAUAGUGCUGUUGACUGUGCGAGCUUCGGACUCCUCCCAAAAAUCACGCUGUUGUUGUGCGUGUUGGUGCCCUUCUGGUUGCUGUCUUCGAGUCUGAGUAGGUGGUAAUGGUGGUGGUAAUGGGAGCUGGGCCUAGGAAGCUUGAGAGUGACUUGCCGAAGCGACAGAAGCUACAGGUUGUUGAUUACCUACGUAUUCUGGUACAUAGGAAGAGUAGCAUGAAGCACUAUGUAGGACCUGCUUCGGCUGAUUCUACCGUGCCUUAGCUUCGGCAAUCUCCUUUUGCUUCUGAAUUGUAACUUGGCAUGUUCUUGUGGUGUGGCCCUUGUCUUCACCACAGAAUAAACAAUAUAGCCUUCUAGGCUGAUCCCCGUAUCUUCCUCCGAAGCCUCUGCCCCUUGGAACUGGUGCCUGAAAGAGCUUUGCUGUUGCCCUAAAGAUUGGGAGUUGUGUUGUGGCCUUUGAGGUUGGCUUCCUCUGUCAUCACUUAGGUUGGAAUUAUGGAUCGAUCUGACAUGCCUAGGGUGGAUUCUUCCUCCAAAGCCCCUGGUCAUCUCAGAAAACCUGUAUGCUUCUUCCCUUCUUUGGCGGAAAUCAUUAUUAGCCCGGAUGUACUCAUCCAUCUUCUGAAGAAGCUUUUCCAGGGUUUGUGAGGGUUUCCUGGCAAAAUAAUGAGCCAUAGGCCCUGGACGAAGCCCCUUGAUCAUGGCCUCAAUGACAAUUUCAUUAGGCACUAUAAGCGCUUGUGCUCUUAGAUGCAUGAACCUUCGGACAUACACCUGAAGGUACUCCUCAUGGUCCUGCGUGCACUGAAACAAAGCCUGAGCAGUGUCUGGCUUCGUCUGAAAGCCUUGGAAGCUAGUGAUUAGCAUAUCCUUGAGCUUCUGCCAUGAUGUGAUUGUUCCUGGCCUGAGAGACGAAUACCAAGUUUGAGCUACACUUUUGACUGCCAUGACGAAGGAUUUCGCCAUGAUUGCAGUAUUGCCCCCAUAUGAAGAUAUGGUUGCCUCGUAGCUCAUUAGGAACUGCUUUGGGUCUGAGUGCCCAUCAUACAUAGGAAGAUAAGGUGGCUUGUAUGAUGGGGGCCAUGGGGUAGCCUACAACUCUGCUGCUAGAGGAGAAGCAUCGUCAAAAGCAAAAUUACCAUGAUGGAAAUCAUCAUGCCAUUCAUCAUCGUUGUACGAAUUGUCUUGACAAAGCUCUCUAUGUUGAGGCCUUCGGUCUUGGUCAUCUUGAGUGAGAUGACGCAUUUCCUCAGCAGCUUCAUCAAUCUUCCUCUGAAGAUUGGCAAGACGAAGCAUCUUUUCUUUCUUCUUCUGGACCUGUUGAUGAAUGGCUUCAAGGUCCCUGAUUUCUUGGUCCAACUCCUCCUAAGGUGUUAGACUAGUAGCCUUCCUUUUCUGGCUCCUGACUUCGCGUAAUGUAUCUUGAUUAACGUCCAGUGGCUGCAAUGCAGCCCCUGGCCCUGAUGACUUCUUCGGUGGCAUGACGAAGGUUAGAGCUUGCCAAAGGUGGUCAAGUGAGUUCACCGGAGGUGGGCACCAAUGUUGGUCACUUGUUCUUAAAUGCUGAGUUAAGAACAAGGCAACACAAAUGUUAAUGGUUAAAGGCCUUCGUCCUUCAAAGCAUUAUUUCCCUUAGGGUAUAAUGAUCUUCAGACGAAGGUCAUGAAGGGCAUACCUUCAUCAUCUCAAUAUACAAAAAUAUAGGCAAGGACGUACAAAACAUAGAAAGACCAUGAUUAAUCAUAUUAAAUCAUUAAAUCAUGUAUAUAUUGACAUUAUAUAAUCAUGAACAAACAUUGAUGAUAUUAAGUUUGAAAGCACAUUCAUCCCUUUUGUGAGUUUUGGUGAUUUGGAUAACAACACAUUUAAAGGUCUAACGAGUUUGCUAAGUGUUGAACAGGAAAUUCAGUAUGAUGAACAUACUUGAAUAGUGUAUAAUGAUCAGUGAACAAAGGUUCAACACGAGGUUAAAUAACCAAUGAGACAAUGCAAAUGGAUAUAAUAUGAUCUCUAUAUUGGUUUGAAUAUAUGGACAAGACCUGAGAAAUCACUACAUACAUAUGACCAGAAUAGAGGACAAAGUGAUUUAGAGGAUUGGUCAAGCCAAAGAGAAUAAGAUAUGAGGAAUCGUGAAUUGGCUUGACCAUAUUACUAUCAGUCCAUAUAUGCUUCUAUGAGAAUCAAACUAGAGCUUGAUUAAUCUUAACAGUUAUAUCUAGAAGACAUUCAAGCAAGGUUCACAAUAUUGAAGAAAUGAUUCUCUCAAUGGAUGCUCAAUAUGAUGUGACUCAAGAAUGGCUUGAUAGGGUGAAGAUAGCAAGGAAAGGGCUUCGAGGAACUAGGCGAAGGUGAAGGCCAAGCGACGGCUUAUAGACCGAGGUACCAUGGCUAAGGUGAAGAAGAGAGUACUUGCACUAAGUCGAUGAACUAAUCAGCUAUGAAGAGUUAUAACAUGUUGAUGCAUCAGUAAGGUGACUUGAAGCAAUGAUUUGAACUCAUAUAAGGUGAUAUGGUACAAGUCACAGGGUUUGGUUUGAGUUUGCUUCAAAAGGUGAGACAAAGAUGUUUGUGAUCCUUAUGAAGCAAUGCCAUGGAGAAAUCACACAUGAGACACCAAUGACUCAAGGAGUUUACUUCAUUUUAUUUUAUUUAACUUGAGUAUAGGAAUCGUCGUACUAUAAAGGGGGAUCCAAAAAGAAUGUUGGUGUUUGCCAAAGCUCAAACCUCUCUAUUCAAAAGCUAUUUUUGAAAAGCAAAAAUCUCUUUAACGUUCUAUGGUUGACCGUGGUUAGGGUUGAGAAACCUAGAGUGCUCUUGCUGAAAAGCAGCUGAACUUCUUCAACUGCAGCUGAGCUUUCCAGCUGAACUUGACUUCAGCUCAGUUGAGCUUCUUCAGCUGCAGCUGAGCUUUUCAGCUGAGCUGAACUUCAGCUGAGUUGAGCUUUCUCAACUUCAGCUGUGAACCUCUUUGACCAUACACCAGCUGAACUUGCCUCCGGGCAGUUGAGCUGGGAUUUUCUCUCCUAAACUCACUGGUCAAGACCGGUUGAACUGGUCCUAAGGGGCAGUUCAGCUGGUCUCUGACCCCUCUGACCUCUGAUCUGCAGUCUGCCAGUCAGACUGGCAAACAGGUCGCCAGGAGCUGUUAGGGGCGGUUCAACCGCCCCGCCUGGGCGGUUCAACCGAUGUUGGUCAACUUUGACCAGUCUGCGGUCAGUCUGCGCGUCAGUCUGCCAGGCCUGCCAGGGGCGGUUCAACCGCCCUAGGGGGCGGUUCAACCGGUCUCAGGCAGAAAAAUCUGCCCAAACGGCUAGUUUUAAGCUCCACCUAUAUAUACUCACUCCUACCUCUCACCCCACAGCAGGGAGCACGAUUUGAACUCCAUUUCUAACCCAAGAAACACCUCCCUCUCUCUCUCACACAUCUCUUGCCUCUCCCAUUUCAAAUCUUUGGAGAGAAAUCUUUGAGUGAGCUUGAGAGCUGCGGUUUUGUGCUUCAUCUCUAAAUCUCUCUUGCUCUUCUUCUUGAUUCGAGCUUUGGUACUACAUUGAGUUCUUUGUGGAUUCAUUACUCUUGGAGCUUCUAGCUCCUAGACGACUAGGUGUCUCUUGUGAGUCUCCAAAUCUUGUGGAAGACCACAAGAAAGUUUGUAUUACCCGCUCGUUUGAGCAAAGAUUAGUGUGUGAGCUUGACCUUUGUGGUCGGCAAAGGGAGGAUUAGGGUUGAAAGAGACCCGGCUCUUUGUGGGCGCCUCAACGAGGAAGUAGGGCACCUUGGUGGUGUGACCAAACCUCGGGAUAAAUCUUGUGUCUUUUGUGUUCUUGUUCAUUGUGCUUAUUCGUGUUCUUCGUUCUCUCACCAUUGCGUGGAAGAUUUGUUCAUAUCUUUUUGGUGUGUGGAUUUUGAGAAGUGCCCUUCUCAGAUCUACUACUUUGAACCCUGUGGAUCAUUUAGAACAUCUCAUUUCCAAAGUUAACUGGGUGAAUUUUGAGAUCAAUUCAGUUUUAUAUCUCAUUGUUUAGUUAAGCUCGUUCAAACCAGUUGCACCGGUUUUGACACUCGACGGUUUUACCUAGUUUGUUUCUAGUUUUUGUUGAAAAAGUUUUAACUUGCCUAUUCACCCCCCCACUAGACAACUUUUAAUUGGUAUCAGAGUCUAAUCCUCGUUUUAACGCUUAACCGCGUGAGGAAAGAUCAUGUCGGGGGGACUAAGAAACGAAAGUUCUUCUAAGCUUGAAAAAGUUGAGGUUGCCUCGACUUCAUCUUUUGGUGCAGAUGUUGAUCCUAGGGCAAUAGACCUUGCCAUGAGAAUCGCCGAAAGGAUGUUCCUCAAAAUGAAGGAAGAUGAGGCGAAGAACAUUAUUGAAGAAGAAGAAAAUGAUCGAUGGAGACCAAACGACGAAUCCACCUCUUCACAAGGUUCAUCUUUCAAAUCCACUUCUCAUAUGUGCUUUGUUGCUAAUGAGAGUGACAGUGAAAGCGAAAGUGAGGAUGAGGAGAAGCAUGAAAGUGAUAGUGAAGAUGAGGAUGAUCUUCAAAAAUUCUUCGCUCAACUAAGUAAGAAGAACUGGAUGAGCUUGCUCAAACUCAUGAAAAGAGCGGAAGAACAAAAGGAAAUGCUUCAUAAGCAAGAAGAUAUCCUCAUCGAAAAAAUCAAAGACUUGGAGAAGUUGACCAAAGAGCAUGAGAAGCUAAAGUGCUCUCAUGAUGAUUUGGUCCAAAGGUAUGAAGUCAUUUCAAUUGAGCAAAUUAAAGCUAUUAAUCAUUCAUCAUAUAUUGCUCAAUUAGAAAAUAAAAAUGCUAUGCUCAAGAACACAGUAGAAAAGCUAAACAUUGAAAAUCUAGCUUUGCAAGAAAAACAUGAUAUACUUGUAUGCUCUCAUAAUAAAUUUAUGGAUUCACAUAUCAUGUUAGAAAUGGCUCAUGAGGUUGUGUUAACUAAUUUGAAAUCAUACCAACCUCACAUGUGCACAUGUGUUGAAAUUGAAACUAUAUUACCAUGUGCUAACAAUUAUUGUUAUCAAGCAAGCCAAUCUUCCAUUGAGCUAGAAAUUUCAGGAAUUAGUGAUAUUUCUAUCACACAAGAAAAUAAAGAGCUCAUGGAAGAAGUUGGAAGGCUAAGAAGGAGCUUAACUCUUUUGAAGGGAAAGUGUCAUGCUCAACCUUCUCACGAUAACCGUGAUAACAUGGUGAAGAAGCUUGAGAAGGGGACAAACGUAGCAUGCACAAUCCCGCUUCAAAAUAAUGCUAAGUUCCCUAAGAAAGGCAUGAGCAAACAUCAAUAGAAGAAAGCCAAAGCUCAUGACAAGUGCCUCAACCAUGCCUCCACAUGCUCCACACAAGGUAACAAACAAGCCACUCUUCCAAAUAAGAGAAGAUGCACUAGAAAGUGUUAUCAAUGUCAUGAGAAGGGACAUGAGAUUAAGUCAUGUCCUUACAUAAAAGAUAGUGGUUUACCUUUGGAAAGAAAGAGGCUCACUAACCAUGUAGCAAACAAGAAGCAAGGCAAGAAGGAGUCUUGCAAAAUUAAAAAUCAUAUUUGCUACACUUGCCGAAGAAAGGGACACCUUUGCAAGGAUUGUCCCAUGAGUAAGUAUCCUAAGUCUACCAUGUCAAUUCAUUCAUAUUCGCUUAGGAGACCCAAAAAUGACACUUGUGCUAGAAAGGUAAUUAGUUCACCUAAAACUAGCACAAAGGCCAUUUGGGUGCCUAAGUACUUGUUAGCUAACCUUGGUGGACCCAUCCAAAGAUGGGUACCAAAAUGUACUUGAUAAGUUUUGCAGGUACCCACAUAUGAUAUGAAGCUUUGGGGUGCUUGAGCGGUUUAACUCAAUUCUUAUCUCAAGCUAUCAAUCUUACAUUGUCUAUCCUUUAAGAUUGACCCAAAGAUGAAUUGAGUUGUUAUAUCACUAACUUCAUAUUCAUCUCUAGCAAGAACUUGUGUUGUAGGGAAUAAGGAUUAACCUUUGUGGGAAUCAAGCAAAAGGCCUACAACCAAGUGAUAUCCAAAGGAUGGUAACAAUUAAUUCUUAAGUGCACAUUGCUUUUAACGAAUAAUGAAGCACUUGAGAAUGAACUUAAAAGAUUUUACCUUGCUUUGGAAAGGAUCUAAUUAUAUGGUAGAUUGCAAGUUCAUAUUUUUAUAUUAUGACAAUCUACAUGCUUUAAAUUGGUUGUAUAUAUCUUGUGGCAUAUUUCAAAUUGAUUAUCGUAUUAUUGCCAUGACCUAGACAUAAAGAGGAUUAUCCCAUGUUCUUAAAUGAAUAGAGUGCUAAGUAAGAAAUUCAAAUUCUUAAAGCACUUACCAAAAGGGAAUUCUCUAUAUGGCUAGAGUUGUGAGACUAAUGUUUCUAUCCAAGUGUUUAUGUAGUCUCACAACAUGAGAAUGUGUUUCCCAAAUGGAGUGUGCCAUUCAACAUUCAAAGAAGAUCGAACCAAUACUAUGUGAUGUAUUCAUUCUUGUUUAAAUUGGUUUUGAGUCUUCUACAUUAAUCACUCAUCAUGUUAUAAAUUAAACUUGCCCUAUAAACUUAACUAAAUAAUCAUGCUAUUUUCACCAUGUUUAAAUCAGUGUUAUGCAUGAUGCUUGUAAGGGUAAUUUAGUUCAUAUCAUGAGGUUUCCUUAUUUUAGUAACCUUCUUGUCAUACAUAUACUAAAGGUUGCUAAAUAGGAAGUUAUUGCUUGUGUUUUAAAUGCAGUCUCUUUUAAGAUAUUUCAUGGAAAUUCAUAAGUAGAGAUUGUGCUCUUUCAAUUGGUAAAAUCACAAGCAUUAAAGGUUAAUCUUCACCCAAAAGAAAGAUUAGGAAUGCUCAAGGCAAAGGUAUGGAACUAAUUGCUUUAAUUGGUUGUUGAUCAAUGGUAGUUCCUUUCAAGUGUCAUUCUUUCAAUUGGUAAUAAUAUAUUCUAUGGAAAUAAAUGCCAAUAUGAAGGUUAAAUUCCUUUUGACUUAAAUUUGUAAAUUGGUGCAUAUUAUUAAUUCUCUCAUCCAUGUGCAUUAAUUUAAAAGGAAUUUAAUUUAUGCCUGUAUGCCCAUAAAUGAUGAUUUGCUUGCCAUUCAUAUAUAGAUAUCAUCAUUCAUUAAAUACUUCCUUGUACUACUAAUACCUCUUUUCAAAGUGUUUUAUCGACUAGUUUUAAAAGGAAAAGAGAUAACAAAGAAGGAAGUCUCCACAAAUGAUGAAAAGAAGAAUAAUAAGGUGACACCACCAUAGAUAGUAAGAUCUGUCAAAUUGGUAUAACAAAUGGUACAUUCUAUAUGGUGGUAAGUAUUCUUAGGCAUAAGUUAAUUCAUUGUAAAUUUGUCAUGCCUCGACAAUGAUAUGUAAUGUACUCCUCAUGAGACCCUUAUCUGAAUUGAAAGUGCAUGUGGUAAGUCAUUCAAAUACUUUAUGCACAUAUCUAGUGGGAGAACAUUAUAUAUCUUGUGUCAUAGAGAAUAAGUUUCACUUGAGUAAGCUAUACUAAGACAAUCCAAAAUGGUAAAUUUGUAUCUCAUUCAUAUGGAUUGUAAUCUUUGUUUUCUAAAUAGCUACUCUUGAUGCAGUUUAAAAUUCCCUUAUCGUUAAUUCUAAAAGUGCAUAAGAAUCUUUUUGUUGAUAUUCAUCACAUACAUAUGCACUAACAUGGAUAUGAUUUUUAAACUGUAAAAGGUACAAUUAGUGAUCCAUACUCUCUAAAUUUUGGAAACCCAUAUUUUGAUAUCUUAGAAAUCUACUUCAAUCAAUAUCCAUAUGCUUCACAUUGAAUUGGAUCACUAAGUUGUAAAUUCCAUGCAUAACUUGUCUUCAUGAUAUGAAUGCUUGUGCGAUUAACCUUGAUAAGCUAGGUGCACCCAAGGUCAAUCUAGGUUCAUCAUCAAGAAGGCAACACAAUGAUGUAUCAAGAAAAGGAGAAAAGGCUCCUAUUCUUAACUCUAACUUUUAUCUGUGUGAUUAAAUAUUGACUUGAAAUCGUGUAAGAUGGUUGUCAAGUAUAUGUGGGUGCCUACACAAAGAGAAAGGCCACAAUAAGGAUUGUGUGGGUACUCAAGGCUCUUACUACUAAUCUCAAAGGACCCAAUUCAAAUUGGGUACCAAGAUAUGAAGCUUAAACUUGUUUUGCAGGAUCACUCCUUCAAUGGAUCAAGUUGGGUGCUUGAUAAUGAAUGUAUAAUUCACAUUUGGAGAUAGUAGCAAGGGUGUGGUAACAACUGAAUCUCAAGUGCAUAUUAUUUUCAAAUCUUAUCUCUUUUGUGACUUGUGUAGCCACUAAAGAAAAAGAAGCACUUGAGGAUAUACAUCAGUUGUUGAUUAUGAAAUAAAGGUCCAAUUGGAAGAUGAAUGAAUAUUAUCAUAUGGUCAACAAUCCAAAAUUGUGUGACAUAUUCUCUAUCUAGUUAAUUUGGAUUUGAUUCUUCUAUAUUAGACACUCACCAUAAUAUGGAUUAAGCCAUCCCUUUAGACUUUAUUGAAUAACUAUGCAUAUUAUACAUGUCAUUCAAAAUAUAUUGUGCAUGAGGGCUCAAGGGAAAUUCAGUCCAUAUUAUGAGGUUUCUUUAUUUUAGCAACUCGCUUGCCUUCCACAUAUAAAGGGUUGCAAAAUAAGAAACUAGUGCUUGUGCUACUAAUGCCAUCUCUUGUGUUGAGUUUAUCCAUAGAAAAUCUAUGUUAAGAGAUGGUGCUUGUUUUAAAUUGGGUAAAUCACAAGCUUAAAGGACACUAUUCAACUAAAGUAAGAUGAAGUUGAUAAGAUGCCAAGGUAUGGAAACUUCCUCUCCUUCAGUUGUUUUAGUAUUCUAUCCUUAGUGGGAUGUACCAUAGUAUAGGUUAAAUUCCUUGCAAUGUAAAAUGUUCAAUAGUGCAUAUAACUUUGACAUUAACUAUAUGUGUGCACUAAUUUAAAGGAAUUUAGUCUAUCCUUUUCGGUUUCAAUAAUGAUGAUUCAUUUGCCAUCCACAUAUAAGGAUCAUCAUUUGUGAAACCCUCCCUUGUGUUUCUAAUGCUCUCUUUUCUAAGUGUUUCAAUAAGGUCCUUCCAAGUGCUUUCAAGAUGGAUUCAAAAUCUAUGGAUAAGAGUCUUGGUUCUUUCAAUCAUUGAGUUUCAAUGAAUCUCAUAUCAAGUAUGAUCGAAUCAAGAAAAGAUGAAAGAAGUUCAUGAUCACUUGGUUGGAUGAAAUCGUAAAAAGAAAAGAGAUCACAGUGAUUCAAGAAGGGAGUUAUAUUUUUUGUCAACCAAAUAAUGAAGAUGCAGUGACAUAUUUAUAUGAUAUCCUUCAUUAUGAGGUUUGAGGUUCAUAUUAGCAUGCUUUACCCUUCAAGAUUUCAAUUGAUAUACUUUUAGUUCUUAAAUCUUCAAUUGGUUUAAUUUUCGUCCUCUAUAUAAAGCAUGUUAUGUUAAGCCAAGAUAUAGUACAAACAUCUCCUUUAACCUCACAUUGUUAAUGUGCAUAAGUGUACUUUGUGUACUCUUGCAUGCACAAAUUGAGGGAGAGUUUAGCCUAUAUCUUGUGAGACUAAUGAUUUCUUUCAAGUUCAUGUUGUGUAGUCUCACACCUUGGAGAACAUCAAAUGAGGUUGAAUGGUUCCAUAGAAAUGAAAAUGAGUUUCUCUUGAACCUAUCAAGAAAAUGAGUUUCUCUUGAUCGUUUGAAGAGGAUGAGUUUCUCUUUGAAAUGUCAAGCCUAUCAAAAGCUAAAAUAGAAAUUCAUGAUUAUAAUGAAGACCAUAUGGCAUGGAACAAAGGUGUGUCACUCCAUGAACUAUUGUAUUAUAUGUGUAUCUAGGCUCUUACAAGUUAGUGUAUGCAUGUAAAUGCAAUAUCUUAAGUCACAUCAUAAGGUUGCACUUGAAUCUUGGCUUAAAAUAUUGCAUAUCAUGCCUAUUAGUAUACCUUUUUUAUUAUGAGUAAUUCCUUAAAUUGGUGCAAUUUCAUAUUUUCAUACUUUAUUUGUACCAAGGUUCAAAUUGUAGAACUUAAUCCCCUGGCCUCACAAGUCCAAGUGCAUAAGCUAAACAAGUAUUCAUCACUUGUAUGCAUACAUUUAGGGGGAGAAUGGUCUAUAAUUUGAAUCUUUGAGACUAACUUCAUUUUCAAGUCUAUUAUGUGUGUAGUCUCAAAUUAGAAAGGGAUCUUCAAGCAAAGACAAUCGCUUCCACUGCAAAAUUUGAUGGGCAUCAAAGAUUCUUUGCUCCAAUAAAUGUAUCUUUUAUACAUUUCAUAAGAGAAUGAGUUUCUCUUUUAUAUGCUACUCCAACAUCAUCUAAAACUGGUAAACAUGUAUCACAUCCUUUUGGAUUGCAAAUGUCUGAAGUAGCAUAGCUUAUAAAUUCUCCUGUCUAGAACUUAAUUGAUUAAAUAGUGCACAUGUUUCUUAUGUUGCAUGAUUAUGUUCAAUUGAUACUCCUUUUAUGCCAAUGGUACUUUAAGUUGCAAAUAAGUACUCUCAACAGAUAUCAAUUGAAUUCAUAUAUGUGUGUGCACUAAAACUUGAGGAGAACUUAGUGUAAUAUGCUAUUAGUGAUCUAUUUAUCUAUCAAAUUGUAUCAAUUGGUGUUUUUCAAUUGAUAUUUUUCAUACAUGAUCACUAGUUGCAUAAUCCAUACUUGUGCAAUUUUCAUGUUGCCUCUUGUUGUGAUAAGAAAAUGCUAGGUGACAUCUAGACUCCAGGUAUCAAGAUUUAUCUUUCAGUUAGUAUGACAAUCUUCAUUUGAUAUCUUGGACCUAUGUCACAAAUUAUGCCAACAAGAGCUUGCAAAUGAAUUCUAAAUCCAACACAAGUCUGGAAACCCCUUGAAAAGGUAAAACGCAAAGGUACAUCACUUAUGACACUUAUCCAUUACCUUUGUGCCAUCUAAGGAUCCCUUUCAUGAUAGUGUGUUCACAUCUCGCUUAAUCAUAAUUUCUAUCCUUUAUAUUCUUUGUAUCCUUUUUGGAGAUUUAUGUCAAAGGGGGAGAAAUUGUGCAUUAAAGCUUACCUUUAGUCUUAUGUAACUAAGUGUUAGAAGACUUUUAAAAAGGGGAGAAAUAAUUAACAAAAAGGGGAAGUCAUAAGAAAAACAUAAGAUGAAGAGAGUUGAUAAGUGCAUUCCAUGUCAUGAGCAUCACGUUUAUUUUAUGACACACUGCACCCUAUGAAUAGUAUGAUAUAAGUUGUCUAUACUUUGACCUAAAUAUGUGCUUUUGGCAUUUGAGUACAUAAGUGUCAUUUUCUGAAAUGCACAUAUUUAGGGGGAGGAAACUAUAUCAUAGGAUUUAAAAUCUUAUUUAUCAAAUCUUAUGUAAGCUUUAAAUGUGUUGUCAUCAAUCACCAAAAAGGGGGAGAUUGAAAGUGCAUUCAUCCCUUUUGUGAGUUUUGGUGAUUUGGAUAACAACACAUUUAAAGGUCUAACGAGUUUGCUAAGUGUUGAACAGGAAAUUCAGUAUGAUGAACAUACUUGAAUAGUGUAUAAUGAUCAGUGAACAAAGGUUCAACACGAGGUUAAAUAACCAAUGAGACAAUGCAAAUGGAUAUAAUAUGAUCUCUAUAUUGGUUUGAAUAUAUGGACAAGACCUAAGAAAUCACUACAUACAUAUGAUCAGAAUAGAGGACAAAGUGAUUUAGAGGAUUGGUCAAGCCAAAGAGAAUAAGAUAUGAGAAAUCGUGAAUUGGCUUGACCAUAUUACUAUCAGUCCAUAUAUGCUUCUAUGAGAAUCAAACUAGAGCUUGAUUAAUCUUAACAGUUAUAUCUAGAAGACAUUCAAGCAAGGUUUACAAUAUUGAAGAAAUGAUUCUCUCAAUGGAUGCUCAAUAUGAUGUGACUCAAGAAUGGCUUGAUAGGGUGAAGAUAGCAAGGAAAGGGCUUCGAGGAACUAGGCGAAGGUGAAGGCCAAGCGACGGCUUGUAGACCGAGGUACCAUGGCUAAGGUGAAGAAGAGAGUACUUGCACUAAGUCGAUGAACUAAUCAGCUAUGAAGAGUUAUAACAUGUUGAUGCAUCAGUAAGGUGACUUGAAGCCAUGAUUUGAACUCAUAUAAGGUGAUAUGGUACAAGUCACAGGGUUUGGUUUGAGUUUGCUUCAAAAGGUGAGACAAAGAUGUUUGUGAUCCUUAUGAAGCAAUGCCAUGGAGAAAUCACACAUGAGACACCAAUGACUCAAGGAGUUUACUUCAUUUUAUUUUAUUUAACUUGAGUACAGGAAUCAUCGUACUAUAAAGGGGGAUCCAAAAAGAAGGUUGGUGUUUGCCAAAGCUCAAACCUCUCUAUUCAAAAGCUAUUUUUGAAAAGCAAAAAUCUCUUUAACGUUCUAUGGUUGACCGUGGUUAGGGUUGAGAAACCUAGAGUGUUCUUGCUGAAAAGCAGCUGAACUUCUUCAACUGCAGCUGAGCUUUCCAGCUGAACUUGACGAGCUUCUUCAGCUGCAGCUGAGCUUUUCAGCUGAGCUCAACUUCAGCUGAGUUGAGCUUUCUCAACUUCAGCUGAACUCAACUUCAGCUGUGAACCUCUUUGACCAUACACCAGCUGAACUUGCCUCCGGGCAGUUGAGCUGGGGUUUUCUCUCCUAAACUCACUGGUCAAGACCGGUUGAACUAGUCCUGAGGGGCAGUUCAGCUGGUCUCUGACCCCUCUGACCUCUGAUCUGCAGUCUGCCAGUCAGACUGGCAAACAGGUCGCCAGGAGCUGUCAGGGGCGGUUCAACCGCCCCCCCUAGGCGGUUCAACCGGUGUUGGUCAACUUUGACCAGUCUGCGGUCAGUCUGCGCGUCAGUCUGCCAGUCAGACUGGCAGACAGGCUGCCAGGCCUGGCAGGGGCGGUUCAACCGGUCUCAGGCAGAAAAAUCUGCCCAAACGGCUAGUUUUGAGCUCCACCUAUAUAUACUCACUCCUACCUCUCACCCCACAGCAGGGAGCACGAUUUGAACUCCAUUUCUAACCCAAGAAACACCUCCCUCUCUCUCACACACAUCUCUUGCCUCUCCCAUUUCAAAUCUUUGGAGAGAAAUCUUUGAGUGAGCUUGAGAGCUGCGGUUUUGUGCUUCAUCUCUAAAUCUCUCUUGCUCUUCUUCUUGAUUCGAGCUUUGGUACUACAUUGAGUUCUUUGUGGAUUCAUUACUCUUGGAGCUUCUAGCUCCUAGACGACUAGGUGUCUCUUGUGAGUCUCCAAAUCUUGUGGAAGACCACAAGAAAGUUUGUAUUACCCGCUCGUUUGAGCAAAGAUUAGUGUGUGAGCUUGACCUUUGUGGUCGGCAAAGGAAGGAUUAGGGUUGAAAGAGACCCGGCUCUUUGUGGGCGCCUCAACGAGGAAGUAGGGCACCUUGCACUACACCAAAAUAGUAAACUUCCUAGAGCCUAAACUCUAGGAAGUUAGGCCUAAACUCUAGGAAGUUAGCUAAACUCUCGGAAGUUAAGCCAUCCCGUCGGAAGUUUGGCUCUCGGAAAUUUUUUGUCGGAAGUUAGCUUAACUUCCUAGAGGCCUCUAGGAAGUUAGCUAACUUCCUACAGCCAAAAAAGCCUCUCGGAAGUUAGUAGAUUCUCGGAAGUUAGUAGCUUCACGCCGUCAGCGCCGUCAGCUGACUAACUUCCUAUGGCUGACUGUAGCCCCUAGGAAGUUAGCUGGCUAACUUCCUACGGCUUAAUAAGCCUCUAGGAAGUUAAUUUGACCAGCAUUACAAAUGUUGUUUAUUUUUAUUUUACACCACAUUCCACAACAUAACAAAUAUAUCAACAGCUAUAUAGCACAACAUAUUUUCUCAUAAAACAUCUCACACACAAUCACAUAACCAUAUUUAAAUCCAUAGUCUCAUCAAUUACAUCACAAAAGUCUCAUCCAUAGUCUCAUCAAUUACAUCAUAAAAGUCUUAUCCAUAGUCUCAUCAAUUACAUCACAAAAGUCUCAUCCAUAGUCAUAAUAGGACACAUCUCAUCAUCCAGUACUAAUAAGAGACAAUAUCUCAUACAUAGUCAUAAAAGUCUCAUUACAAAUGCAGUUUGUACCAGGAUUCACCUUCAGAGUAUCUCCCUACAAAGCAGGAUGAGCGCUAACGUCAGUGGAACCAAACUAAAAUGAAAGAGAGGAUUGGAACUAGAGUAUAAACCUUUUAAAAAUUUCAGAACAUAGUACCUUUGAAAAGAUUCAUUCUUGCAUCUGGUGGACCACAGUUAUCAGAUAAGUGAUACUUUCCUGAAAGUAUACCCAUUGCCAUUGGGUUGUAAGGCAGCAAGCUGAUUCUGCAAAUGCCAUAGUUCGACAAUGGAAGUUCAGAAGAAAAACAAUUGUAUAAAUUGAGUCAAAACAGAAUACAAUUUGGAAAAUAUCUUAACCAAGAGCAAAUACGAUAUGACAAUGCCAUUCUUCUUUAAACUAAACAGAUGUCAAUAUUUUUUCGAACAUGCAGGAGAGCUAUGUAUCGUUGUAUCAUAGUCAUAGAGAGUAAAAAAAGCCAAUAUGCAUUACCAACUCAUGCCAGGACCAUACAUGAGAAGAUUAGAGACACUGAAGACAACAGUCAGGGCUUCUGACCAUGUCAAGCAUACCUCUCAUGAUGGCAGCAUUCUGCCAAUCCAGAAUCAAAAUUUUGGCACAACAAAUUAUACAAGUUCUACAAAAACAUAGGUGAAGAAAUAUGGAGAGCGAUUACAGUACUACAGAUUAGAUCAAACUAUGCUACUUACCUGCAUUGUCAGUAGCUUUGGAAGCAACUGAGAAUCCUUACUGAACUAAAGAAAUUUCAUCAAACCAUAUGGUGUAUCAUUGGAACAGACGUGUACUGGCAGUUCGGAUCAUACUCUGUCUCCCCAAACAUUGGAACAUACCUGCAAGUAGAAAAAAACAGUGGAUCAUACUCUGUCUCCUCAUAGCCGAAGCUAAGUAUGCAACAACAAUUAUUCGAGGAAAAACUCUACUAACAUCUAUGUAUCGUCACUAAGGGUGACUAUUUAUGCAAUUUGUAUUACAAAAACUUAGAUCAUGCCUAGAGCAGAAGUAACAAGCGUUCGAAUUAAACAAUCAAUUCCUAAAGACACAACCACACUAGCGAGCAUCUGAGCACAAGAGCAAAUAUGAGGUUUUGCAGAGUGAACACAGAACAAAAAGGUCUACCAAUUGACCACCUGCCAUCGAUUGCCGCUGCGAUGUUCCGUGAAUCGAGAGAUGACGGCCUGCCGCGAAUCCACGUCAUCUGCCAUGAAGGCCCCGCGACCUGUUCUCCCAGCAUAGCGUCACCAAACAAAGCACCAAGUUGAGUUCACCGCUCCGUCACAAAAUUCACAAUACAUACAAGCAACUGAAGUACGGGCAGGAUCUGAGGGCUGUUGCUCCCUUUGGUUGCGACAACGAUGCUGUCCGGUGGGGCCCGGCGGGCCCGCAACCAGCGGCCGAGGAGCUCCUCACUACGCCCGUGCGUCUUGCUGCGUUGUGGAACCGAGUACCUGACGAGUAUCUGGAUUCGGGGCCGGGGGCGGCGGGCGGGGCCGAAGGUGGGCCGAGGUGGGGGCGGCCGCGGUGGAUGGGGCUGGUGGUGGCUGCGUCCGCGGUGGGUGGGGUCGGGGCGAGGGCGUCCGCGGCGGACGGGGUCGGGGGCGGCCGUGGCGAGGGCGGGCAGGGGCGGCCGCGACGUGGGCGGUCGGUGGCGUGGGCGGUGAGGGCGACUGGCGACUGGCGGCUGGCGGGGCCGGAGGCGGGCCUUGGCGGGGGCGGCCACGGUGGAUGGAGCCGAGGGCGGUGGCGUCCGUGGUGGACGGGGCUGGGCCAGGGGCGUCCGCAGCGUACGGGGCCGGGGGUGGCCGCGGCGGGGGCAGGGGCGGGCGGGGGCGGCCGGUGGCGUGGGCAGCGGGGGCGGCGGGCGGCGGGCGGCUCCAUGGAAGAGACAAAGGCGAGAGAGAUGGGGUUGAGAAAUGUGAGAGAAGAGAUAAGGUUGAGGAGAGGUUUAAAAUAAAAAAUAACUUCCUAGAGUAAAGCCGUAGGAAGUUACGUAACUUCCUAGAGUUUGUACAUUUACUCUAGGAAGUUAAAUAACUUCCUAGAGCCGACCGUAGGAAGUUAGCUUUUCGUUUGACUGGUCAAAAGCUGAAAUCUAACUUCCUAGAGCUGGUCGUAGGAAGUUAGCUUUUCGUUUGACUGGUCAACAGCUAAAACCUAACUUCCUAGAAGAGGCCGUAGGAAGUUAGCUGGGCAGCUAACUUCCUAGAGCCAGCCGUAGGAAGUUAGCUUUUCUUUUGGCUGGUCAAUAGCUAAAACCUAACUUCCUAGAGCAGGCCGUAGGAAGUUAGCUAACUUCCUACGGUUUUUUAACUUCCGACAGCUUUUAUAAAAGACCGUAGGAAGUUAGGUUUAUUUCCUAGAGCUACCAGUUGCCUCUCGGAAGUUAUUUAUUUCCUACGGUUUGUUACAAAAGCUGUAGGAAGUUAAAAAACCGUAGGAAGUGUAUGAUUUUGGUGUAGUGUUGGUGGUGUGACCGAACCUCGGGAUAAAUCUUGUGUCUUUUGUGUUCUUGUUCAUUGUGCUUAUUCGUGUUCUUCGUUCUCUCACCAUUGCGUGGAAGAUUUGUUCAUAUCUUUUUGGUGUGUGGAUUUUGAGAAGUGCCCUUCUCAGAUCUACUACUUUGAACCCUGUGGAUCAUUUAGAACAUCUCAUUUCCAAAGUUAACUGGGUGAAUUUCGAGAUCAAUUCAGUUUUAUAUCUCAUUCUUUAGUUAAGCUCGUUCAAACCAGUUGCACCGGUUUUGACACUGGACGGUUUUACCUAGUUUGUUUCUAGUUUUUUGUUGAAAAAGUUUUAACUUGCCUAUUCACCCCCCCUCUAGACAACUUUCAAAGUUACAUUAGUACCUUCGACUUGACAGAAGGUAAAAGUCCGAGGGUUACGUGCGAGCGAUUACAAGUCAGCGUGAACAGUAUGGUGUUACUGUUCAUCUAUUUAUAGGCACAAGACGUAGCCUGGGUAAAAUUACAUUCAUGUCCCUGACACUUACUAUUAGCUAAAAGGUAAGAUGUCGAGGACUAAGCAGUCUUUUCCCUUUUAAGUCGGUUUCAUUCUCCAUCGUCAUCUUUGCGCUAAGCCGAAGCUUUUCCAUCCACAGCUUCGGAACUGGUCCAUCCUUCUUCCAGGUCGCGCCUUUCAUACUAUGUACACCUUCAUCUCAAAGCCAAAGCCUCCUGUGACAGUAUACUAUACUGGAAGACAUGUUAGUCAUGUUUUUGAGGACCAUCGAAAGACAAAGGCCCCCAAUAGAGAUGAGAAUGUUAGAUUAAGUGCUACGAUAGAGGAAUUAAAUGUUUGCAAACCCUCUACAUCUAAUGUUGAUCAUGUUUCUAUUUGCACUAGAUGUAUAGAGAUUAAUGUAGAAGCUAUUGAUGAUCACCUUGCUAUGAUUAAACAACAAAAUGAUCACAUAGCUAAAUUAACUGCUAAAAUUGUCGAGCAUGAGCUAGAAAAUGAAAAAUUUAAAUUUGCUCGUAGUAUGCUCUAUAACGGGAGAUGCCCUAGCAUUAAGGAUGGCAUUGGUUUCCAACAGGGGAGCAAUGUCAAGCUUAAUGCCCCUAAAAAAUUAUCUAACUUUGUAAAGGGCAAGGCUCCCAAGGUUCAGGAUAGUGAAGGCUACAUUUUAUAUCCUGCUAACUAUCCUAAGCAGAAAAUUAGGAGAAUUCAUGCUAGAAAACCUCACACUGUUUCUCAUCAUGCAUUUAUGUAUAAAAAUGAGGCUUCUAGCUCUAGGCAAUCAACUCAUGUUAAAUUGCCUAAAACGAAAACUCCCACUGCAUCAAAUGAACACAACAUUUCAUUUAAGACUUUUGAUGCUUCAUAUGUUUUAACUAACAAAUUAGGCAAAGUAGUUGCCAAAUAUGUUGAGGGCAAACACAAGAGCUCCAAAACUUGUGUUUGGGUACCCAAGGUGCUUGUUUCUAAUGUGAAAGGACCCAAGACCGUUUGGGUACCUAAGAACAAGGCCUAAAAUUGUUUUGUAGGUUUAUGCAUCUGGUGGUUCAAGUUGGAUAAUCGAUAGCGGGUGCACAAACCACAUGACAGGGAGAAGAGAAUGUUCUCCUCCUAUGAGAAAAAUGAAGAUCCCCAAAGAGCUAUCACAUUCGGGGAUAGAAAUCAAGGAUUGGUCAAAGGUUUGGGUAAAAUAGCUACAUCUCCUGACCAUUCUAUUUCCAAUGUUUUUCUUGUAAAUUCUUUAGAUUACAAUUUGCUUUCUGUUUCUCAAUUAUGCAAAAUGGGCUACAACUGUCUAUUUACAGAUGUAGGUGUUACUGUCUUUAGAAGAUGUGAUGAUUCAAUAGCAUUUAAGGGAGUGUUAGAGGGUCAGCUAUAUUUAGUUGAUUUUAAUGAGAACAAAGCUGAACUUAACACUUGCUUAAUUGCUAUGACUAAUAUGGGUUGGCUCUAGCAUCGUCGACUAGCCCAUGUUGGAAUGAAGAAUCUUCAUAAGCUUCUAAAGGGAGAGCACAUUUUAGGACUAACAAAUGUUCAUUUUGAGAAAGACAGGGUUUGUAGUUCAUGCCAAGCAGGAAAGCAAGUUGGCGCUCAUCAUCCACACAAGAACAUAAUGACGACUGACAGACCGCUCGAGCUACUCCACAUGGAUUUAUUUGGCCUGAUAGCUUACAUAAGCAUCGGUGGGAGUAAGUACUGUCUAGUUAUAGUGGAUGAUUAUUCUCGCUUCACUUGGGUAUUCUUUUUGCAAGAAAAAUCACAAACCCAAGAGACCUUAAAAGAAUUCUUAAGAUGGGCUCAAAAUGAGUUUGGAUUAAGGAUAAAAAAUAUAAGAAGCGACAAUGGGACAGAGUUCAAGAAUUCACAAAUAGAAGGAUUUCAUGAGGAUGAGGGCAUCAAGCAUGAGUUCUCUUCUCCCUACACACCUCAACAAAAUGGUGUAGCGGAGAGGAAUAAUAGAACUCUACUGGACAUGGCAAGAACCAUGCUUGAUUAGUACAAGACACCGGACCGGUUUUGGGCUGAGGCGAUUAACACCGCCUGCUACUCCAUCAACCGACUCUACCUUCACCGAAUCCUCAAGAAGACAUCAUAUGAACUCCUCACUGCUAAAAAGCCAAAUGUUUCAUAUUUUAGAGUCUUUGGGAGUAAAUGCUUUAUUCUUGUUAAGAGAGGUAGAAAAUCUAAAUUUGCUCCUAAAGCUGUAGAAGGCUUUUUACUUGGUUAUGACUCAAACACAAGGGCAUAUAGAGUCUUCAACAAAUCCACUCGAUUGGUUGAGGUUUCUUGUGACAUUGUGUUUGAUGAGACUAAUGGCUCCCAAGUGGAGCAAGUUUAUCUUGAUGAACUAGAUGAUGAAGAGGCUCCAUGCGUCGCGCUAAGGAACAUGUCCAUUGGGGAUGUGUGUCCUAAGGAAUCCAAAGAGCCCACACAAGCACAAGAUCAACCGUCAUCUUCCAUGCAAGCAUCUCCACCAACUCAAGAUGAGGAUCAGGCUCAAGUUGAUGAAAAUGAAGAUCAAGAGGAUGAGCCACCUCAAGAGGAGGACAAUGAUCAAGGGGGAGAUGAAGAGAAUAAAGACAAGGAAGAUGAUCAAGAAAUUCAGGGACAAAGACCGCCACAUCCAAGAGUCCACCAAGCAAUUCAACGAGAUCACCUCGCCAACUCCAUCCUCGGUGACAUUCAUAAGGGGGUAACCACUAGAUCUCGAGUUGCUCAUUUCUGUGAACAUUACUCUUUUGUUUCCUCUAUUGAGCCAUACAUGGUAGAGGAUGCACUAAGAGAUCUAGAUUGGGUGCUGGCAAUGCAAGAGGAGCUCAAUAACUUCACGAGGAAUGAGGUAUGGCAUUUAGUUCUAGGUCCUAAUCAAAAUGUUGUAUGUACCAAGUGGGUAUUCCGCAACAAGCAAGAUGAGCAUGGUGUGGUGACAAGGAACAAAGCUCGACUUGUGGCCAAAGGUUAUUCACAAGUCGAAGGUUUGGAUUUCGAUGAAGCUUAUGCACCCGUAGCUAGGCUUGAGUCAAUUCGAAUAUUACUUGCCUAUGCUACUUACCAUGGCUUUAAGCUUUAUCAAAUGGAUGUAAAAAGUGCCUUCCUUAAUGGACCUAUCAAGGAAGAGGUCUAUGUUGAGCAACCUCCCAGCUUUGAAGAUAGUGAGUACCCUAACCAUGUGUAUAAACUCUCAAAGGUGCUUUAUGGGCUCAAGCAAGCCCCAAGAGAAUGGUAUGAAUGCCUGCGACAUUUUCUUAUCACUAAUGGCUUCAAAGUCGAAAAAGACGAUCCUACUCUCUUUACUAAAACUGUUGCAAAAGAUUUGUUCGUAUGCCAAAUUUAUGUUGAUGAUAUUAUAUUUGGGUCUACUAACAAAUCAACUUGUGAAGAGUUUAGUAGGAUCAUGAUACAAAAAUUUGAGAUGUCAAUGAUGGGGAGUUGAAGUAUUUUCUAGGAUUUCAAAUCAAACAACUCCAAGAUGGUACCUUCAUCAACCAAACAAAGUACAUUCAAGACAUACUUAAGAAGUUUGGGAUGAAGGAUAGCAAACCCAUCAAAACACCCAUGGGAACCAAUGGGCAUCUCGACCUCGACAUGGGAGGUAAAUCCGUAGAUCAAAAGGUAUACCGGUCGAUGAUAGGAUCUUUACUCUAUUUAUGUGCAUCUCGACCGGAUAUUAUGCUUUCAGUAUGCAUGUGUGCAAGGUUCCAGGCAGAUCCUAAGGAAAAUCACCUUAGGGUCGUGAAGAGAAUCAUGAGAUACUUAGUUUACACUCCUAAGUUUGGGCUUUGGUACCCCAAGGGAUCCACUUUUGAUUUAAUAGGAUAUUCCUAUGCCGACUGGGCAGGGUGUAAAAUUGAUAGGAAGAGCACAUCAGGGACUUGUCAGUUUCUGGGGAGAUCCCUGGUGUCUUGGGCUUCAAAGAAACAAAACUCAGUAGCUCUUUCUACCGCCGAAGUCGAGUACAUUGCCGCAUGUCACUGUUGCACGCAAUUACUUUGGAUGAGGCAAACCCUUAGGGACUAUGGCUACAAAUUGAGCAAAGUCCCUCUCCUAUGUGAUAAUGAGAAUGCAAUCCGCAUGGCGGAUAAUCCCAUUGAACACAGCCACACUAAGCACACAGACAUUCGGUAUCACUUUCUGAGGGAUCACCAACAAAAGGGAGAUAUCGAGAUUGCUUAUGUGAACGCUCAAAACCAAUUAGCCGAUAUCUUUACCAAGCCAUUAGAUGAGAAAACCUUUAGCAAACUUAGGAAUGAGCUAAAUAUACUUGAUUCUCGGAUUUUUGAUUGAAACAUUGCACACAUAGCUCAUUUAUAUACCUUUGAUCAUGUCUCUUUCAUUCUGGUACAAAUGCAUAUUUCUUAUUAUGUACCAAGGCUACGACUAAUAUGUUUUCAAGUGUAUUUCUAUACUAAGUCGUAGAUUGAAAGGGAAAUGGAGUCUUCGGCAAAGAACAAGGCUUCCACUCCACAACUCUGACGGUAUUAUCUACCCUUUGCCGUUGUUCCUCCACUCUCAAUUGGUAUAACCAUUCACUCAUAUUUAUAUUACCAUUUGGGAGAAAGAUGCACAAAGGACUCUCAACGUCUCCGUUUUUGGUGAUUAAUGCCAAAGGGGAGAGAAUAUUAAGCCCAAAGCAAAAGGACCGCACCACCACCAAUUUCAAAAUUUUCAAAAUAAGGUUUUAAUUGAUUUUUUUCACAUUGGUAUCUAUGUGAUGGAAAUUUCUUCAAUUGGUAUUCAGGAGGGAGUUUUUAUUCAGGAGGUCAAUUUUCAAAUUAGUAUCUAUUUCAAAAACCCUCUUGAAAGCUAAGAGGAGAAUUUUAUUCAGGAGGGAGUUUUUAUUUAGUCAAAGGAAAAGCAUUUGAAACAGGGGGAGAAAUUUCAAAUCUUGAAAAUGCUUCUUGCAAUAUUAUUCAUAUACCUUUGACUAUUUGCAAAAAGACUUUCCAAAAAGAUUUGUAAAAACAAAACAAGUGGUGCAAAUGUGGUCCAAAAUGUUAAAUAAAAGAAAAAGCAAUCCAUUCAUAUCUAGUGAGAUUUCCAAAUGGUUUAACUUCAUGUAACCUAUGCACAAUCCAAAUGCAAACUAUUUACAUUUCUGCACUUAUUAUUUGCUUUGGUUUGUGUUGGCAUCAAUCACCAAAAAGGGGGAGAUUGAAAGGGAAAUAGGGUAAACCUUUUCCCAUAAUUAAUUUUGGUGGUUGAUCGUCAACACAAACACAUGGACUAACUAGUUUGUCUAGAACUCAUGUGUUACAGGUGCAUAAGGUUCAACAUAAACCAAUAAAAGAUUCAAGUUAGGGACUAAAUUUGAAACACAACAAAGAACUUGAGUGUGCUGUGGACUGGCGCACCGGACAGUGUCCGGUGCACCAGGGUCGUACGUACAAGUUCCAACCAGCCACUCUCGGGAAUUUAACAGCGCCCCUCCGCUAUAAUUCACCAGACUGUCCGGUGUGCCACAGGACUGUCCGGUGUGCUAGCGGAGCAACGGCUAACUCGCGCAACGGUUGACUCUGAUAGAAGCUACAAUGAGCAACAGUGCCGCGCAGAAGUUAGAACAGUGAAGUCAGAGGGGCACCGGACUGUCCGGUGUGGCACCAGACUGUUCGGUGCCGCAAGAGAACAAAGCUCCAACGGUCGCCCGAGCUCCAAACCCUAACGGUUGGGUGAUGUGGCGGUGCACCGGAUAGCGCACAGUACCUGUCUGGUGGCGCACCGUUCUCUCCGGUGCGCCCAUCGCCAGCAGCCUCCCCAACGGCUACCAAAGUGGUUGGGGGCUAUAAAUACCCCCAACCACCACAACUUCAAGCAUCCAAGUUUUCUGAAGAUCACAUUCAAUACAAGAGCUCUAGCAUUCACUCCAAGACAUAAUACAAAAGAUCAAAUCCUCUCCGAGUCCCAAAUUCAUUCCAAACACUUAGUGGCUUGUGAGAGAGAAUUUUGUGUUUAUUUGAGUUCUUGUCGCUUGGAUUGCCUUUCUUCUUUUCCAAUUCUUACUCUCAAGUGCUUUGUAAGCGAGGCAAGAGACACCAAGUGUGUGGUGGUCCUUGCGGGGGUCUUAGUGACCCAUGAGAUUAAGGAAGAAGGCUCACUCGGUCUAAGUGACCGUUUGAGAGAGAGAAAGGGUUGAAAUAGACCCGGUCUUUAUGACCUCCUCAACGGGGACUAGGUUCUUUGGAACCGAACCUCGGUAAAACAAAUCAUCGUGUCAUUCGCUUUAUUUUUUUGGUUGAUUUGUUUUCCCCUCUCUCCCGGACUCAGAUUUUAUUCUAACGCUAACCCCGGCUUGUAGUGUGUUUAAAGUUGUAAAUUUCAGUUUCCGUCUAUCCACCCCCCCUCUAGGCGACUUUCAAUUGGUAUCAAAGCUGGUACUUCAUUAGAGUCUAACCACUCGAAGUGAUGUCGGGAGGAUCCGCCAAGAGGGAGAUGGAAACGGGCACAAGCCACGGGAAGGCUCCAUCAAAGGAGUCCAGUGCCAAAGGAAGGGAGGAAUAACCUCCAUGAGUCAAGUCGCAUCGGAGUGGCGACAAGAAGAAGAAGAUGAAGAAAGUGGUCUACUACGAGACCGAUUCUUCGUUGCCAUCCACCUCCGGCUCCGAUGCGGCAUCCAUCACUUCUAAGCGCCAUGAGUGCAAGAAGUUUAGUAAGAUACCCCUACGCUAUCCCCGUAUUUCUAAAUGUGCUCCUUUACUUUCUGUUCCAUUAGGCAGACCACCAGUUUUUUAUGGUGAAGAUUAUUCUAUGUGGAGUGUUAAAAUGAAAGGUCAUCUAACCUCACUCCACGAAAGCAUAUGGGAUGUUGUUUAGUAUGGAGCGCAGGUACCACAGGUGGGGGAUAAGGACUAUGACUCGGACGAAGUCACCCAAAUAAGGCACUUUAAGUCCCAAGCAACUACUAUACUCCUUGCCUCUUUAAGUCGAGAGGAGUAUAACAAAGUACAUGGGUUAGAGACCGCCAAAGAAAUUUGGGACGUCCUCAAGACCGCACAUGAAGGGGACAAUGUGACGAAGAUCACCAAAAGGGAGACGAUCGAGGGAGAGCUCGGUCGAUUCGUCCUCAACCAUGGGGAAGAGCCGCAAGCCAUGUACAACCGGCUAAAGACCAUGGUGAACCAAGUGCGCAACCUCGGGAGCACCAAAUGGGAUGACCAUGAAAUGGUCAAGGUUAUUCUAAGAUCCCUCAUUUUUCACAAUCCUACGCAAGUUCAAUUAAUACGUGGUGAUCCUAGAUAUAAGCUAAUGUCUCCCGAGGAGGUUAUAGAAAAGUUUGUGAGCUUUGAAUUGAUGAUCAAAGGCUCCAAACAAAUCAUCAACUUGGAGCAAGGCGGCACCUCCACACCCGAGGUGCAACUCGUCGCAUUCAAAGCGACGGAGGAGAAGAAAGAAGAGUCUACAUCAAGUAGGCUCCCCAUCGACUCCUCCAAGCUUGACAACGAGGAGAUGGCACUCAUCAUUAAGAGCUUUCGCCAAAUCCUCAAGCAAAGGAAGGGGAAAGACUACAAGCCCUGUUCCAAAAGGGUGUGCUACAAGUGUGGUAAGCCCGGUCAUUUUAUUGCAAAAUGUCCUAUAUCUAGUGAUAGUGAUAGGGGCGACGACAAGAGGGGGGAGAAGGAGAAGAAGAGAUAUUACCAGAAGAAGGGCGGCGAUGCCCAUGUGUGUCAGGAAUGGGACUCCGACAUGAGCUCCACCGACUCCUCCUCCGACGAGGAUGUCACCAACAUCGCCGUCAACAAAGGUCUCCUCUUCCCCAACAUCGGCCACAAGUGCCUCAUGGCAAAGGACGGCAAAAGGAAGAAGGUAAAAUCUAGAGCCUCCACUAAAUAUACAACAUCUAGUGAUGAGAGUAGCUCUAGUGAAGAUGAGGAUAAUUUGCUUACCCUUUUUGCCAACCUUAACAUGCAACAAAAGGAAAAAUUAAAUGAAUUGAUAGUAGCCAUUCAUGAGAAGGAUGAACUCUUGGACAGCCAAGAGGAAUUCCUUAUUAAGGAAAAUGAAAAGCAUGUUAAGGUGAAAAAUGCUUAUGCUCAAGAAGUAGAGAAAAAUGAAAGCUUGACUAAGGAGCUUAGCAUUUGCCAUGACACUAUUUCUAACCUUAGAACUGAGAAUGUUAGUUUAAAUGCUAAGGUUGAGAAAUUAAAUGCUUGUAAUGAUUCAAUUGCCAAUCUUAGAAAUGAGAAUGCUAGUUUAAUUGCUAAGAUUGAUAAAUUGAACGAAUCAAUUUCUAGCCUUAAGACUGAGAAUGCUAAUUUAAUUUCCAAGGCUAGAGACUUAAAUGGUUGUAAUGAUUCCAUUUCCUGUCUUAGAGAUGAAAAUGCAAUAUUACAUGCUAAGAUAGAUGAAUUAAAUGCUUGCAAACCCUCUACAUCUACAAUAGAACAUGUCGCCAUUUGUACUAGAUGUAGAGAUGUUAAUAUUGAUGCUAUUCAUGAUCACCUUGCUUUAAUUAAACAACAAAAUGAUCAUAUAGCUCAAUUAGCUAGUAAAAUCAAUGAGCAUGAGAUAGAAAAUGAAAAAUUUAAAUUUGCUAGAAGCAUGCUCUAUAAUGGGAGAUGCCCUGGCAUCAAGGAUGGCAUUGGUUUCCAACAGGGAAGCAAUGUCAAACUUAAUGCCCCUAAAAGAUUGUCUAAUUUUGUUAAGGGCAAGGCUCCCAUGGUUCAGGAUAACGAGGGCUAUAUUUUAUAUCCUGCUGGUUAUCCCGAACACAAAAUUAGGAGAAUUCAUGCUAGGAAAACUCAUUCUGUUUCUCAUCAUGCACUUAUGUAUAAGAAUGAGGCUUCUAGCUCUAGGCAAUCAACUCAUGUUAAAUUGCCUAAAAAGAAAACUCCUACCGCAUCAAAUAAACCUAAUAUUUCAUUUAAGACUUUUGAUGCUUCAUAUGUUUUGACUAACAAAUCAGGCAAAGUAGUUGCCAAAUAUGUUGGGGGCAAACACAAGGGGUCAAAGACUUGUGUUUGGGUAUCCAAGGUGCUUGUUUAUAACAUCAAAGGACCCAAUAUUGUUUGGGUACCUAAGAACAAGGCCUAAAUUGUUUUGCAGGUUUAUGCAUCCAGGGGCUCAAGUUGGAUUAUUGAUAGCGGAUGCACAAACCACAUGACAGGGGAGAAAAUGAUGUUCUCCUUCUACGAGAAAAACGAAGAUCCCCAAAGAGCUAUCACAUUUAGGGAUGGAAAUCAAGGUUUGGUCAAAGGACUUGGUAAAAUUGCUAUAUCACCUGACCACUCUAUUUUCAAUGUUUUUCUUGUAGAUUCUUUAGAUUACAAUUUGCUUUCUGUUUCUCAAUUAUGUAAAAUGGGCUACAACUGACUUUUUACGGAUAUAUGUGUUACUGUCUUUAGAAGAAGUGAUUAUUCAGUAGCAUUUAAGGGAGUAUUAGAGGGUCAGCUAUACUUAGUUGAUUUUAAUAGAGCUGAACUCGUACUUGCUUAAUUGCUAAGACUAAUAUGGGUUGGCUCUGGCAUCGCCGACUAGCCCAUGUUGGGAUGAAGAAUCUUCACAAGCUUCUAAAGGGAGAGCACAUUUUGGGACUAACCAAUGUUAAUUUUGAGAAAGACAGGGUUUGUAGCGCAUGUCAAGCAGGAAAGCAAGUUGGCGCCCAUCAUCCACACAAGAACAUCAUGACGACUGACAGGCCGCUUGAGCUACUCCACAUGGAUCUAUUUGGCCCGAUAGCUUACAUAAGCAUCGGCAGGAGUAAGUACUAUCUAGUAAUUGUGGAUGAUUAUUCUCGCUUCACUUGGGUAUUCUUUUUGCUGGAAAAAUCUCAAACCCAAGAAACUUUAAAGGGAUUCUUGAGACGAGCUCAAAAUAAGUUCGGAUUAAGGAUCAAUAAAAUAAGAAGCGACAAUGGGAUGAAGUUCAAGAACUCUCAAAUUGAAGGCUGUCUUGAGGAGGAGGGCAUCAAGCAUGAGUUCUCUUCUCCCUACACACCUCAACAAAAUGGUGUAGUGGAGAGGAAGAAUAGAACUCUACUGGACAUGGCAAGGACCAUUCUUGAUGAGUAUAAGACACCGGACCGGUUUUGGGCGGAAGCAAUCAACAUUGCUUGCUACUCCAUCAACCGGUUCUACCUUCACCGAAUCAUCAAGAAGACAUCAUAUGAACUCCUCACCAGUAAAAAGCCUAAUGUUUCAUAUUUUAGAGUCUUUGGUAGCAAAUGUUUUAUUCUUGUUAAAAGAGAUAGAAAAUCUAAAUUUGAUCCUAAGGUUGUAGAAGGCUUUUUACUUGAUUAUGACUCAAACACAAGGGCAUAUAGAGUCUUCAACAAAUCCACUGGAUUAGUUGAGGUUUCUUGUGACAUUGUGUUUGAUGAGACUAAUGGCUCCCAAGUGGAGCAACUUGAUCUUGAUGAGCUAGAUGAUGAAGAGGCUCUAUGCAUCGCGCUAAGGAACAUGUCCAUUGGGGAUGUGUGUCCUAAGGAAUCCGAAGAGCCCACUCAUGCACAAGAUCAACCGUCAUCUUCCAAUCAAGCAUCUCCACCAACUCAAGAUGAGGAUCAGGCUCAAGACAAUGAAAAAGAAGAUCAAGAGGAUGAGUCACCUUAAGAGGAGGACAAUGAUCAAGGGGGAGAUGACCAUGACAAGGACAAGGAAGAUGAGCAAGAGAUUUAGGGUCAAAGACCGCCACACCCAAGAGUCCACCAAGCGAUUCAAAGAGAUCACCUCGUGAACUCCAUUCUCGGUGAUAUUCAUAAGGGGGUAACCACUCAAUCUCGAGUCACUCAUUUUUCUGAACAUUACUCUUUUGUGUCCUCUAUUGAGCCAUACCGGGUGGAGAAUGCACUAAGAGAUUCGGAUUGGGUGCUGGCAAUGCAAGAGGAGCUCAACAACUUCACGAGGAAUGAGGUAUGGCAUUUAGUUCCACGUCCUAACCAAAUUGUUGUAGGUACCAAGUGGGUAUUCCGCAACAAGCAAGAUGAGCAUGGUGUGGUGAUAAGGAACAAAGCCCAACUUGUGGCCAGGGGAUAUUCACAAGUCAAAGGUUUGGAUUUCGGUGAAACAUAUGCACCCGUAGCUAGGCUUGAGUCAAUUCGUAUAUUACUUGCCUAUGCUACUUACCAUGGCUUUAAGCUUUAUCAAAUGGACGUGAAAAGUGCCUUCCUCAAUGGACCAAUCAAGGAAGAGGUCUAUGUUGAUCAACCUCCCGGCUUUGAAGAUAGUGAGUACCCUAACCAUGUUUAUAAACUCUCAAAGGCGCUUUAUGGGCUCAAGCAAGCCCUAAGAGCAUGGUAUGAAUGCCUGCGAGAUUUUCUUAUCACUAAUGGCUUCAAAGUCGGAAAAGCCGAUCCUACACUCUUUACUAAAACUAUUGCAAAAGAUUUGUUUGUAUGCCAAAUUUAUGUUGAUGAUAUCAUAUUUGGGUCUACUAACAAAUCUACAUGUGAAGAGUUUAGUAGGAUCAUGAUUCAAAAAUUCAAGAUGUCUAUGAUGGGGGAGUUGAAGUAUUUUCUAGAAUUUCAAGUCAACCAACUCCAAGAUGGCACCUUCAUCAGCUAAACAAAGUACAUGCAAGACAUACUUAACAAGUUUGGAAUGAAGGAUGCCAAGCCCAUCAAGACACCCAUGGGAACAAAUGGGCAUCUCGACCUCGACACGGGAGGUAAAUCCGUAGAUCAAAACGUAUACCAGUCGAUGAUAGGAUCUUUACUCUACUUAUGUGCAUCUUGACCGGAUAUUAUGCUUUCUGUAUGCAUGUGUGCAAGGUUCCAAGCCGAUCCUAAGGAUUCACCUUAGGGUCGUGAAAAGAAUCAUAAGAUAUUUAGUAUACACUCCUAAGUUUGGACUUUGGUACCCCAAGAGAUCCACUUUUGAUUUAAUAGGUUAUUCAGAUGCUGAUUGGGCAGGGUGUAAAAUUGAUAGGAAGAGCACAUCAGGGACUUGUCAGUUUUUAGGGAGAUCCCUCGUGUCUUGGGCUUCAAAGAAACAAAUCUCAGUAGCUCUUUCUACCGCCGAAGCCGAGUAUAUUGCCGCAGGUCAUUGUUGUGUGCAAUUACUUUGGAUGAGGCAAACCCUUAGGGACUAUGGCUACAAAUUGAGCAAAGUCACUCUCCUAUGUGAUAAUGAGAGUGCAAUCCACAUGGCGGAUAAUCCCGUUGAACACAGCCACACUAAGCACAUAGACAUUCGGUAUCACUUUUUGAGGGAUCACCAACAAAGGGGGGAUAUCGAGAUCGCUUAUGUUAGCACCAAAGAACAAUUAGCCGAUAUCUUCACUAAGCCAUUAGAUGAGAAAACCUUUAGCAAACUUAGGAAUGAGCUAAAUAUACUUGAUUCUCGGAAUUUUGAUUGAAACAUUGCACACAUAGCUCAUUUAUAUACCUUUGAUCAUAUCUCUUUUAUGUCUACGACUAAUGUGUUUUCAAGUGUAUUUCUAUGCUAAGUCGUAGAUUGAAAGGGAAAUGGAGUCUUCGGCGAAGACAAGGCUUCCACUCCACUCUAUCGGUAUCAUCUACCCUUCGUCGUCACUCCACAUCACUCUUCGAUUGGUAUAAUCUUCACUCAUAUUUACUUGUACCAAUGGGAGAGAAAGUAACAAAGGGCUCUCAAAGUCUCCGUUUUUGGCGAUUAAUGCCAAAGGGGGAGAAAUAUUAAGCCCAAAGCAAAAGGACCGCACCACCACCAAUUUCAAAAUUUUCAAGAAUUUUUCAAAUUGGUAUCUAAAUGUAUUUGAUCUUAUUCAAUUUGGUAUUUACAAAAAUUGGUAAAACCCUCUUGAACACUAAGAGGAGCAUUUGGUUCAGGGGGAGUUUUGUUUAGUCAAGGAAAAGCAUUUGAAACAGGGGGAGAAAUUUCAAAUCUUCAAAAUGCUUCUUGCAAUCUUAUUCAUAUACCUUUGACUAUUUGCAAAAGACUUUAAAAAAAUUCAAAAAAGAUUUGCAAAAACAAAACAAGUGGUGCAAAUGUGGUCCAAAAUAUUAAAUAGAAGAAAGCAAUCCAUUCAUAUCUAGUGAAAUUAUAAAUUGGUUUAAUUCCAAGUAACCUAUGCACUUACCCUAUGCAAACUAGUUCAAUUCUGCACUUAUAUAUUUUCUUUGGUUUGUGUUGGCAUCAAUCACCAAAAAGGGGGAGAUUGAAAGGGAAAUAGGGUUAACCUUUUCCCAAUAUUAAUUUUGGUGGUUGAAUGCCCAACACAAAUAAUGGACUAACUAGUUUUCUCUAGAGUAUAUGAUCUACAGGUGCAUAAAGGAUCAACACAAAUCAAUAAAAGAUUGAAGAUAGGGUUCGAAUACAAAGGAGCAAAGAAACCGAGUGUGCCCUGGUCUGGCGCAUCAGACUGUCCGGUGUGCCACCGGACAGUGUCUGGUGCACCAGGACCAUACAGAGUCUAAACAGCCACUCUCGGGUUUCAACCAGCGCGCUCCGCUAUAAUUCACCGGACUGUCCGAUGCACCAGCGGAGCAAUGGCUACUUCGCGCAACGGUCGCCUGCAAAAGCUGAAGAACAGAGGAACAGUACACAAACAGUGCGCGGCAGAGGCGCACCGGACAUUGAACAGUGUCUGUCCGGUGCGGCACCGGACUGUCCGGUGUCACUAGAGGACAAAGCCUCCAACGGUCAAAAGUUCUAGAACCCUAACGGUUGGGUGACGUGGCUGGCGCACUGGACAGUGUUCGGUGCGCCCAUCGACAACAGCCUACCCCAAUGGUUGUUUUGGUGGGUGAGGGCUAUAAAUACCCCUCAACCACCUGCACUCCAACCAUCCAAGCAUUCAACACUCUCCAUUCAAUACAAGAGAAAAGUGCAACACUCCACGACACAAAUCAAAGCCAUCGAUCCAAUCAAAGUCCCUAAUUCAAUUCUAGUGCAUUAGGACUUGUGAGAGGAUCAAUCGUGUUUCUUUGUUGCUCUUGUUUGCUUGGCUUGGCUUUCUUUUCUUUCUCACUUCUUACUCUCAAGUGCUUUGUAAGCGAGGCAAGAUACACCAAUUGUAUGGUGGUCCUUGCGGGGUCUAAGUGACCCGUGAGAUUAAGGAAGAAGCCUCACUCGGUCUAGGUGACCGUUUGAGAGAGGGAAAGGGUUGAAAGAGACCCGGUCUUUGUGACCACCUCAACGGGGACUAGGUUCUUUAGAACCAAACCUCGGUAAAACAAAUCACCGUGUCACCCGCUUUAUUUUCUUGGUUGAUUUGUUUUCCCCUCUCUCCCAGACUCGGAUUUUAUCCUAACGCUAACUCCGGCUUGUAGUGUGUUUAAAGUUGUAAAUUUCAGUUUCCGCCUAUCCACCCCCCCUCUAGGCGACUUUUAGAAAGUUCGAUUGAAAAAUAUAAAGCCAGACCAUUUGGUGCUUUGGAGGAUAGCCAACCCAGAUACAGUGGGCAAGCUACAGCUGAAAUGGAAGGGUCCUUUUCUGGUAGUAUCUUCGUCAAGACCUGGUUCUUACAGAUUGAAGGAUAUGGACGGCAACGACAUACCUAGAUCUUGGAAUGCGGAUGAGCUUUGGCGGUAUUAUGUGUAAUUGAUGUAAUCUUUUUUAUUUUUUCCUAUGGCACCCUUUUCCUUUUAGGAGGGGAGAAAGGUUUUUAAUGGGGCCAUAGUUUGUAAUUUUCAUUCUUAUUUGGCCCUAUGCAAUACAAGGGCCAAAAUCCCCCAAAAAUGUAACAUGUAAUAUCAGAACAUGCACCAUCGAGUGCAAAAGAAAACAGGGAAAAGCUCAAAAGUCGUCCCUAAGGGGAUGCAGAGCUGUAAUUACCCCAAGGAUGAUGAAGCUGCAAAAGUCGUUCCUAAGGGAGCACAGAGUAAGUUCCGAAGCUGCAAAAGUCGUUCCUAAGAGGGCGCAGAGUAAGUUCCGAAGCUCAAAAGUCGUUCCUAAGGGAAUGCAGAGCCAAAAUACCACCAAAAUAAAAGAAGAAGCUCCAAAUUCAGUCCUAAGGGGAUGUAGAGCUUAAAUGCCACCGAAAUAAAAGGUGAAGAAGCUCCAAAGUCGUUCCUAAGGGGAUGUAGAGCUUAAAUGACACCGAAAUAAAAGGUGAAGAAGCUCCAAAGUCGUUCCUAAGGGAAUGCAGAGCUUAAAGACUCUGAAUUCGUUCCUAAGGGGAUGCAGAGUCUGGGUGCGGCUUCGUGUGUGUAUGGAUCAUACAUUUGCAUAUUACAUUACAUCAUUCAUUGCAUUCAUACAGACAUUCAUUAGACAUUCGUAGGAUCAUCAUCAUCAUGACAUGAAGCACGAACAGAAAUAGUCCGGCUUCGGCGACAAAGUGUUUUGUUGAACACGAAGAAGCUUUGUUUCAAAUAUGAAUACAUGCAUUUUAUGCAAGGGAAUGCUUCAAUGUGUACGAAAAGAAGGGAAGGUGUUUUUCGCCUUCGGCUCAAAAGACGCGAAUUUCGUCCACAGCAAAGCAAUUCGUACAUGGACGGAAAGGUAAAAUUAUAUUACAAGGUAUGGACAAAUAUAUACAGUAUUGAGUUUAACUCUUGAUUACAAUUUUUGCAAAAAUAAUGCAAAACAUUUCCUAAGUUCUAUACAGGAAGGCACAAAAGGAAGCUUCAUCUCGGUAACCUUCGGAAUGUGCUUUGGGUUAUUAACCUUCGACACCUCCAUCCUGCAGACAAACAAUGGUAUAAGGUAAAAGUGAUUUAAAAAUCAAGGCAAGCAACAGGUAUAAGUUUCGUACUGGUUUAAGCAGACUUCGAGCUUCGUCUCCAGCCAACUCUCGUCCGCCUUUAGCCCAAAUCUGAGUGAUGAAUCUAUUUCCGAUGCUUCGGGCUUCACCGGGGAUGUUAAUAAGGUCUGAUAGUGAUAAGCUGAAGGUUGACUUGUUCAUUGUUUUUGCAUGCAUGCAUCCGGCCUUCAAGAAUGCAGCAGUUGUGCCGCGAGAAGCUAACAAAGCACAGAAGUCACCGUGCCCAGUUAUCACUUCAUCGAGCGCAUCAACUUCAUUUUCAAUGUGCUUGAAGGUAUCUAAUAUGUCUUCAGCCGAAGGGGUAAUAUCUUUAGAGCUAGCCCCGACCGAGCUGAAGACUCCUUUUAACCGUUGCACGCAGCGGCUGCCAAAUUCCAAGCAUGUGUUCCGAAUGUCCCUCAGAGAUUCUUGUAGCUUUGAGUUUUUAUCAGCUUUGGCUUCAUAUUUUGCUUGCAGUUCCUUCUUCUCUUGUUCGAAGCACUCUGAUUUUCCUUUUAAGAUUGUUUGAGUUCGGAGAAGCUCUUUGCUUAACCUAGCAUUUUCAGCUUGAAUCUCUGCAAGUGAACCUUCUGUUGCUUGAAGCAGGAAGUCCUUCUUUUCAAGAGAAGCUUUGUAAUCUUUAAUCUUGCUUUCCAAGCCCUCAAUUAUAAUUUCAUUUUUCUUAUCUUCAAGGUCUUGUUGCAUUCUUAAUGCUUUACUUAGCAGCAUACUCUAUGAAAAUAAGUUGACUUCAGAAAAUUUUAAUUCAUCACAAAGAUAACAAAAAUCUAGGCAAAAGAAUUUUACCUUAAAAUUGGAGUAAAAGAGACUGCGGACGAUAUGUUGCCGCCGGUAGCCGCUUAUAUCACACUCAAGCUUCGAAAAACCGACACUCUUUGAUAGAGUGCCGAUUAUUUUUGACCCGGCACGAUCGCGAAUACAUCCCAAGGCUUCUUCGUCAAUUCCACCAAAAAGCAUAACUCCUCGCUGGUAGCCACAGGAUAUCCCAUAUUCCAUUAGCUCCUUUUUCUCAGCCUCGGACAAUUCUUGACCCACCAGGUUCCGAAGGUCAAAAUCUUUUUCUUCUAAAGCAGCAUCAGCAAUUUUUUCCUUUGUCAGGCACUGCGGCCAUGAUCUUCUCUGCAGUUGCAGACGUCUCUUCUGCAGCCAUAUCCGAAAGAAGUUUAUCAAUUCCUAAUAGUGUACUUGCUAGAUUGGUAGCUUCGGCAGCAGCUGUAGCUUCGGUAGAGGUUUCAGCUUCGGCAGUGGCCUCGGCACUUGCGACAGGUACUAUUCUGGACGUCGAGGCCAGAUGUGGUGUCCGCUCAACAGCUUGCAUAACAUUAACAUUUCUUCACUUUUUCUGACCCUUAGUCUUCUCCUUUACGGCCAAGGGUUGAUCCUUCUUCUGUAAAAGUUUCGUCAGUUCUGGUCCCAGAGGACUUAGCAGCUUGAUGGGUAAGGAUUCAGUCAUUACCUUUAAAAUUAUUUUUAUUUCAGCAGCAGGAGGUGUUGAAGGAGUCUCUUCUGUUGCCUCAGUUACCUUCGGCUCUGGAGCUUCAGCCUUCCUCUUUUUUGAAACUGCCGCCUUCGGCUCAGGAGUGGAUUUUGUCUUCUUAGAAAUUUUCUCAUCUUCCUUAACCAUUCUGACAGCUUGCCUGCUUAGAAUGCUGACAACCUUUUUUUUCUUUUUACCCCUUCGACCCCCUUGUCAAGUUUUUCAUAAUCAGGGUAGUCAAAAUUUAAGGCGUCCAUUACCCGGUUCAAUCUUCGUUUCAGGCGGGUACCGAAGGCUAUGGUCAUCAGCUGAUCUUCGUUCUUGGUAUAAUUCCCAAGUAUCUCAUUGCACAUGGUCUCAAUCAUGUCUAGCCAUUCUUUGCAAGGCUUCUUGAAUUGUUUUUCAAACUUAAAACGGUAAGCAAGUCGAACAAGUCCAUGCUUCUUCCCCACUUCUUUCCUCUUCGGCAUUCCCCAGCCACUUGACGUUGGAUAUGUUCUGUUUGCAAAGUAUUCUUGCACCAAGUCCCUAGUACUGAUCUGCUCAGCUACCACUCUAAAUUCUACUUCAGCCAACUGACAGGGUGACCCCAGUUGCAUAUUGCAUAAGGGUCUGGUUAUUUCGAAGCUUAAAGUCAGUGGACUCAUGACCAUGGUCGUCAGCUUCUCCCUCUUUUUCUCGUUAGCCUUCAUAUAGAACCACUCACUUUUCCAGCCAGUUGGCCACUUCGUGUGGUAGCUAAGAACUGGUGCCUUUGUAUCCUUUUGAUAUGCAAAAUUGUAACAGCCAAAAUUUUCAUGAAGGCCAUCUACCCUGGCCUUCGUCUGGUAAUGCAGUUCGUGCACUCGGCAGAAAGCUUCGGCAUCUGGACUCAUCCCUUGGCUUCGGAGGGCCCAGAUAUAGACACUGAGUCUAACAAUAGUGUUGGGAGUCAGCUGAUGAAGAUAUAUCUCAAAGUUCAAUAAAACUUCUCCAAUCAUAACAUUUAGGGGGGACCGAAGCCCUGCUCUAAAGAAGCUCUUAAAAACGACAACUUCAUCCUCUUUCGGCUCCAGAAUUACCUCUUCCCCGGCAAAUCGAACAAGUUUGCUCUCAGCCUCUCCAAAAUACCCCAAUUUCAUCAUCAUAGGCAUGUCAUCUUCUGUUACAGUGGAUUUUUCAAAUUCAAGAUGACUAGGCUUUGUCGGGUUCAGAAUGUUGUAGUCUUAUUCACUCUCAUCAUCAUUCUCACCAACCACAGCUUGUUCAGCUUCGGCAUUGGAAGCACCUUCGGUAAUAGGCCCUUCUGGCACAAUUGGUGUUGUUUCAGUUACGUCGACUUCGUCUCCCUCGCGAGACACUCUAGCAGUUGAUCGUACUCUGGUCAUUUCAAUGAUUUCACCUUUUGACGAAGCUAACCUUAAACGAUGAAGCGUUUGCUCAAGAGCGCAAUGCAGAAAGCUUCGGUUAUGGUCAAAAAUUUUAACAGCACAACAGUGCAAUGACAAUGAAUGUUGUGGUAACUCCUCACCAACCCGUCUGUUUAUAUAGUGCUGCAGGGGGGGAGGUGAACCGUCAGGCCGCUCGCACUCGCUGAACGGUGGACCGUCCGACGCCUGGAAUAUUAUAAUCGUUUCUCUGCAACGAGCUCAGGGAAGGUGUUUUCGGACCUUCGGCAUUCCGAAGCCUUCGGGUUUUUCACGGAUCGAGCUCGUUACGAAAAACGAUCUAACAUCGCGAAGGGGCUACUGUUGGGGGCCUUCUUCUCCGCCGAAGGUCCUCUAAGCAAAAACACCUUCGGCAGAACAAUACACAAGGAGGUGUGACAUGAAGAUGUAAGCCGAAGCUACCAUUGAAGGAGCUUCGGCAUGGUGACGCGCUAAAGACGAAGGAUGUUAUCGACUUAAAGAGGAAAAGACUGUAUAGCCCUUGAUAGUUUGUAUUGUAAUUAUAAUCAGCCAUCAGGGUCAUGGAUGUAAUUUUGUCGGGGCUGUGUCCCGAGCCUAUAAAUAGAUGAACAGUACACUCGUACUAUUCACGCUGACUUGUAAUCACUCUCGCGUGACUCUCGCUUUUUCACCUUCUGUCAAGCCGAAGGUACAAAUGUAAUAUAAAUAUCGUUGAUGUUUAUUCAUGUUUAUAUAAAAUAAGAAUAAGAAUAGUCUAAUGAUUUGAAAUGAUUACUCAUAUUCCCUUUGUGCUUCGUAUGUUUCUGUUUACAUUUUUGCUUACUGAAAUGAUGAAGCUAUGUCCUUCAUGACCUUCGUCUGAAGAUCAUUAUAUCCUAAGGGAAAUAAUGCUUCGAAGGACGAAGGUCACUAAUCAUUAACAAUUGUGUUGCUUUGUUCUUGGUAUUUAGCAUCUGAGAACAAGGACCAAUAUGUAUUAAUAAAUAUUUUUAAGAACUACAAAUACCAAACAAAUUCACAGGUCAUUCUCUUCCUCAUCCCCACAUAAUGCAGCGGAAAAUCUUGCUUUUAUUCCCGUCAUAGGUUCCGCGCAAUAGCUUGCUAGUGGUCGCACUCUUGGUCGGCAUUCACGAGCGGGUAGAGACAUCGACACUAGAUUUACCUGACCUCCACUAUCAUAGAGGACCAUGUAGUGUUCCUUGCUGGAUAGAUAAAGGAGGGAGAACUCUAGCGUAGCGAACGCUUAGACUAUCUACACUCAUACUACUCUAAAUUAGUACUUUAAAACAAAUAUUUUAGGGGUAUCUGCUAGUCAUAUAGUGUAAAUGUGCAACGAAUCUUCUAGGGGAUGCAAACGAGACCUCUCUCAUCCAUAUAUUAUUGUAUAUUGUAGGACGGUAGUUAGGAGGCUUCACAAAAAAAUGGAGGAGUGAUCUAACUGAUGUAACAUCUUAAAUAUAUAAUACUACAAAAUAUGUCAUUGCAACAAAACACGUCCUGAAUUGAAUCGAGGUUCACAACCGAAUAACCUGAAUUGAAUCGAGGUUCACAACCGAACAAGACCUUACUUUGUAUUUAACUUUGUGUUGAUGAAGUACUCUUUACACCUUCUCGAUAUGGAUAGCCUUAGACUGUUCAAGCAACGUCCUCUAUAUCUACUAUUUAUAUGACUAUAUCUGUCCUUCACAACUCUAAAAAAUUAUCCUCUAUAUUUACUUCAUCUCCAACAACGUUCUCUAAUUCACGUCCUAUGUAUAUAAAUACCUAUCUUAAAUAGAUAGAUAAAAUGAGAGAGAAACCCUAUAUAUAGAGAAUUUAGAUUAGAAAUUAGAGGACAAAAAAUAUUAUCUAUAAUUUAGAAUUUAGAGUACAUGAACUAAAGGUCUAUUGGAGCGCCUUAGAUAGCCUUAGCACAAUAGUGUACCCUAAAACUCUAUCCAUUUUAAUAUACGUAUGUAGCAAAUUAGAAGUAAUAUUGUCUCUGUAUUUACAUUGUAUUUACAUGUAGCACGAGAUUAACGUAUAGGACGAGAUUUAAAAAACGCUACUGGACAAGAAAAAAAGAAGAGUUUCUCUUGCUAAUGGAUAGAGAAAAUUGUAGUAGAUAAAUGAUUCAGAAACCAAUCCAAACGACCCUACAAAACUUCCAAAACAGACAAAACUAAGGGGGGAAAGAAACAUACUGAAGAAAACUAACUAUACGACUUCCUAAAAUCAAUUUAACAAUGCCAAAAGGUUAACAUAUAGGUCUUAGAGCAUUCUUGUAUUGCAAAAGGUGAAAUAGCAAGAUGGUACCAAAUAAAUAGAUAAAAGUGCACAUGCUAACAGAUCUCAACAGUUCACACGAUAACAGCAACGAUCACAAACAAAACUUGUGAUGAUGAAAACUAGGUAUUGCUAAAGCAGGCGCAGGAUCGCAUCAUUUCUUCUUGGCAGCCGCCUUGGUCACCUUGGCGCCGGUCGGGUCCUUCUUCUCCACACUCUUGAUAACUCCAACAGCAACCGUCUGCCUCAUGUCACGGACAGCAAACCUACCAAGGGGAGGAUACGCUGAGAACGUCUCCACCACCAUGGGCUUGGUCGGUAUCAUCUUCACCAUACCAGCAUCACCGUUCUUCAGGAACUUUGGCUCCUUCUCAAGCUCCUUGCCAGACCGCCUGUCGAUCUUGGUAAUGAGCUCAGCAAACUUGACAGCAAUGUGGGAGGUGUGGCAGUCCAGCACUGGGGCAUAGCCGUUGCCAAUCUGCCCAGGGUGGUUCAUGAUGAUGACCUGGGAGGUGAAGCUGGCAGCCUCCUUGGCAGGGUCAUCCUUGGAGUUGGAGGCCACAAACCCACGCUUGAGAUCCUUGACAGCAACGUUCUUCACGUUGAAGCCAACAUUGUCACCCGGAAGAGCCUCCUGAAGCGCCUCGUGGUGCAUCUCAACAGACUUCACCUCGGUAGUCAGGCCAGUUGGACCAAAGGUGACAACCAUACCAGGCUUGAUGACACCAGUCUCCACACGACCAACCGGUACAGUUCCAAUACCACCAAUCUUGUACACAUCCUGGAGGGGCAGACGCAGGGGCUUGUCUGAAGGCCUCUUGGGCUCGGUGAUCUGGUCAAGAGCCUCAAGCAGGGUUGGGCCUUUGUACCAGUCAAGGUUGGUGGACCUCUCAAUCAUGUUGUCACCCUCAAAACCAGAAAUGGGAACAAAGGCAAUCUUAUCAGGGUUGUACCCAACUUUCUUGAG
rnacentral:lncRNA from 1 species